GCCUGCCUGCAGCGCGGGGCGGCUCCUAUUGUUCAUUUAGAAGGCUGCAGCUGUUAUUCAUCUAUCCAAUAAAACUGAGUCUGUACGCUUCCUCAGUGGGUAAAGCAAGUUGUUCACGGUGCACCCUUUACUCAAUAAUGACCAGUGAUUUUUGUUAUGAUCAGCCGUUAUGUAUUCAGUUACUCAAGUCAUUCGAUGAUCGCUGAGCGACUUGAUUGCACCGUGUAGUUCUUCUAUGUUUUUCUUUUAUGAGAGGGAUCUAUAGUUCUGUGUGAUGCUGGCUCGGUUACUCUAAGCAACGAUUCUACCUGACUGAUCUAAAACCAGCUGGAUUUAGUUGCCAAUUGGGGCAGAGUACGGUAUUUGCAUUGAGAGGAAUUAGCCAUCAUCCAGAGCUGUGGAGGAAUUGAGAGUGCGUGUGAGUAAGUAGUAGAUAAGCAAGAGCUCAGCUGUAGUGACAGUAAUGGCAUCUCUAGCUAAUCCCUCAAAAGUUAUACUCUAGGAAGAUUUUUUUUCAUUCGAGGAAUUAAGCACUAGCUAGCCGAUCCCUCGAACUUUUAAUUCCUCAAAAGUACAACUUCUCAUCCCUCAAAAUCCACACCUCUAGCUCAUUUUUCUCUAACAAGGGCAGUUAGCAAAUUUUUAGGCAGCUUGCUCACCCCUCUUGGCCUUGCGUUGCUGUCGCCGGAAUCCGUCCGCGCCACUCCUGCAACCCCACCAGCCUCACCCACCUUCUCCUGGCUGGUAUCGCCGUCGACGUGCAAAGCUUCACCCCGUCGCCGCCGAGCCGCCAUUUGGGCGUGAAUGGAGCCGUCGGAGUAUGGAUCCCGUGCAUGGAAUCCCGCACACGAGCGGACGAGCCUACACCGGUCGACGGUGCUGGAAUGGGGACUUCUUUACCGCUGACGUAGCCCAGCUCCCCAUCGGAUCGGCCAUGAGCUCCACGCUGUGGCUUACGCAAACCAUGCCCGGCGAAUCAUGGAGCUCAACAAGGCCUACGUCAUAUCCGCCCAUAGAUCAUACCACCACCGGCGGUGAAGCUCCCACAAUUCUAGCGCGCCCAUCUGCUUGUGUUGACCAUGGAAGUAAGGUAUAACACAAACCCCUGCAUGUUUGCAAAUUGGCAUUCUUGCUCACAAUAUUACACGCACGCACGCACGCACGCAGAAAGGAGUCUCUUGCAACGCAUAGGUAUGAGUCAAUCUCUUAAAGCUUUACAUAAGCCAGAUGCUUGACCACUGGUAUUGAUCAGAGAGAAGCUAACGACGCGUUUGGUUCGGCCAAUCUGUAGCGGUUUCCGACUCCCGCGCUUUCGGAAACGGUAAAUGGUGUUUGUUUCACACAACGUCCUCGGUAACCCCGUUUCCUGAUACGCCGCUUCAGAGAGUCGAGCUGAUUAGGAAACCGGGCCCAACCGCACGAACCAGAGCUCGUAUCUCGUAAAAAGAGAUCGAAACCAGAGCUUCCCGAUACCCAAGCCCGUUACGUUAGCUGGCCGUGAACCAAACGCGUCGUAAGUGAUGAGCUGAUAGGCGCACACAAGAAGCAAGUGCAGAUCAACGAGGAGCGAGUAAAAACUAAUGAGAUGCAAGCCCAAAUCAAUGAGAUGUAAGCCUAGAUAUGGGAAUUUAAGAAGUUUCACUUUGCACUCCUAGUUGUUGUUAUAAUUUGGUCCAUAUUUACUGGGUCAGCAGUAGCAGUUCUUCCUGUGGGAGUCAUUGAAGUGACAAUGUUCUUACUUUUAGGCAAUUUGGCUAGAGAACUAUUGUGUUCUUUGUAAUAUACUAAUAUGUACCCAGAUCAGCUCCAACAGCAAUAGUUCUUACUUACAACAUUGAAUUUAAUAUAUAUCCUAUAUCAAGUUUUAAAUUAACUAGGAAAAUGGCCCGUGCGUUGCAACGGGAUAAAAAUUAUGUUAAAAGCUACACCGUGCCUUGGUUCCAGAGAAUUGGCUGUCACAUGCCUUUUAAUCCCACACGGAGGUAGUAUUUGAGAGAAUUGAUCAAACUGCAAUGGUAAUAAAUAGGCCCAUGGUUGGAACAGCAGAAAAAAUUGACACGUAUUCAAUUUUUUUUAGAAUUGUAUGUGCAUCAACAUUCCGCACAUGUCAUAUUUUGUUAUUUGCUUUGCCCGUCAUUUAUUGUUAGGCCGAAAGUAAUUCAACAUGCAAGUGCAUGUUAAUCCAAGGGCGCUACCAAUUAUUAUUGCAUGCAGAUCAGAAUGUAAAUUCGGUGCCAACAACAUACACCUUUGUCGAUUCUGCUCUCAUUUGGCCGGUAUCUUUCCUUCCUCCUUGUUGUGGAGUGCACCCGAUCUGAUUCUAAUAAUCCUCCCCUGCUCCUUUGCGUGGUUCGUUUGGUCAGCAUGGUCGACGCGUGUGAAGUCUGGUGGCUUCGUGUGACAUCCCCAGCAGUGCUUAGCGACGCGUGCACAAACCCUUCUGGUGUGCUUACACAUGGUCUAUUUUUAUCCUUUGUAAAAGCCUGAAUCUCCAUCUUGUUUUCAGUUUAUCUUGCACAAAGCAAGUCUCCCAGAUACCACGCGCCCGAGCGGCGAGAGCGCUCCGCCAGGGAUCUGAAGCAGCAGUUGAGCAGCGGGACCUCGCCGGUGAGCCAGCUCCUCUGCGGUUCUCCCUCUCCUUCUACCCUCGUUUCCUCUCUCUCAUCACCCUCUCUUUUCUCUCUCAAACAGGACGCAGCAGCUCCACCACAACAAUGGCGCCGCCCUCGUGGAACAUGGAAGCAGCGGCUCACUCUUGCGGCGGCGACGUGUCCUUCCAGUGCUCCCCCUUGCGGCCUCCCCGGACUUGGUCUUCGCUUGGUGUUGGCGGACAAACGAGCAGGGACAUCUCCCGCACUGGCCUCCCCCGUAUGUGCGCAGCUGGCUGCUCCCUCGAGUCCAGCAGUGGUCGCGAGGCGAUGCGAGCAGCAGCUCAGACGCACGCAGUGCCUCCCUGUCAGCCCGAGACGCCGCCCGAGCGGGAGGCACCGGCGGACUGGAGAGGCGAGCAGCAGCACGCCCCAGCAGCAGCACCGGGUGGCAGCAGCAUCACGCCCAGGACAGGGGCGCACGGCAGGUGCGGCGCGACGAGGCUGUAGUUAGGGGGGGCAACAGUUCUCGGCCGCAUCCAUGCGCGGCCGCCGUGGCGUGCUCCUACUCGUGCGGCUGGUCCAUGGCCGUCGACGCAUGGCAGGGUAGGGGCGGCAGCAGUUCUAGGCCACAACCAUGGCCGACGGCGCGCGGCAGGGCGGCAUGCUCCUACUGGCGCGGCCGAUGCGGGCGAGAGAAGAGAGGAAUCGGGAGAGGUGCUCACGGGCGGCGCAACUCAUCUCCUCUGUGACCAAGGGGCUCGCUGGGGCGGCGGGGAAGGCCGGCUGCAGGGCAAAUCGGUAGAGGGCGCCGAGGGGAUCCGUUCUCAUGAGCGGCAUCCCGGGGAAGGCGCUAGAGUUGGCCGGAAUCGGGCGGUCAAUGGAAGGACGGGUUGUCGCCGCCAUUGAAGCAAGGGGAUCGAAGGUUGAGGAGGUCCUCUAUCUAGGAUCUAGGACCAGCGCGGACGUAACAACGACGCUCCCAAGCUCGGGCGCACCACUGCAGGGCGGAGGGCCGACGAGGGCCAGGCGGCGACAGUAACGCCGGGGAGGGCAUGAGUGAGUCCUGCGCCGCCGCGGCUGGAGAGGGAGUGUCUGACUAACAUAGAGGAAAGGAGCUCGGGUUGAAUUCUAAUAAAUCCAGGGGUUAAUUUGUGAAACCGAAUCGUUUUGUAGAUUUCAUUUAAAGAGGGAGUACGGUUACAAUUUUCAGAAAAUAGGAGGGUUUUUUUGCAAAACAGCCACAACGACGGACGACAGAAACCUAAUUUUCUUUAUUAUUAUUAGGUAAAGAAAAGAUAUGUUACCAAAAUAUAUCUUCAAACCAUUUCACUCGUUUCCAGGAGCACCCAAUGCUAGGGUUUCUUGUGCUUCCCGCCAUAGAUGUCGCCAGCUUGCCUCGUCUUCUGUGGUCUUAGUGCCAUUGAGGUGAUGUGGAUCCCGACCCUUAUUGGUGGGAGGGCUCUGCUUUUGGAUGUCUUCCAAAUUAUGUUAGGGUUUGUGUCUUGCUCAGAGAGGCGAGACGGCGGUGGCUCUCUGGAGCGCCUAGCCAUCAUCCUGACGGUGCUUCUAGCAUCAUCGAAGGGCGUGUGAAGGUUCUGACGGAUCUCGCAGGAUUCGAUCAACAUUUGUCUUUGGUGGAUCCACAUGGAUCCAGUCUUCAUUCGUCUGUGUUUGUGUGUCUACAUGUUGGAUACUUUCGAUCUACGGUUCUCUUCAUCGACGGAGCUUGUUGUUCCGGCCCGAUGGUCCUAUAGGGACUUAGCACGACAACUUCCCGACUGUUUACUACAACAAGUUUGCCUGACUUCGGUGAGGGAGGGGUAAUGACAACGGUCCGUCUUCGGCUCGCUUUAGUGCUUGCAGUUGUCGCUAGAUGGUCUACAGACCUGAAUGUAAAUUUUACUUCUAGUCUUUGUACUAUCUUGACAGUUGAUAAAUAUAUCGUAAGUUUUUUUAAAAAAAAAAUCUUCAAAUAAAUUUUUUGUGCAAACAUUUGAAAAAAAACAAAAGAUUCUCUUUUGGUAUUAAAUUUUGAGGGAUCGCCAAGAUGGACAAAAGUCUGUUGAAAAAAAGGAAUUAACGGAUAAGACGAGAAUUCUUUUUCUUUUAAAAAAACCCGAAACUUUAUUCAUUGGAGAUAAAUAGUACACCGUUUGUGAGGGUCAUUAUAAUUUCAUUUAAAGGUUCCUCAAACCAAACAGAAGUCAAAGAACCGGACUUGGCAAAUCUGCUGCUCAAACGCCCGCGGACGCGUCCGAGCACGCUCGCAGGCGCAUCCGCGGCCCCUCAUAUUUUCUUCUGUGCAUCCACAUAUCUCAAAUCCGGACUUCUAAAUCCAUGCAAAUACAUGCACGUCGAUCAUGCACCGCAAUGUCGCAUGUAAAUAACAAAUGUUGGUAUCAAGCAUACAUAGUGUUUACAUAAAUUUAUUUGAAGUGCCAAACUCAAGCAUUGCCUCCUUGGUUGCCAUUGUGGAUCCACAUGUGUGUUGGGAAACAUAGUAAUUUCAAAAUUUUCCUACGCACACUCAAGAUCAUGGUGAUGCAUAGCAACGAGAAGGGAGAGUGUUGUCCACGUACCCUCGUAGACCGAAAGCGAAAGCGUUAUGACAACGCGGUUGAUAUAGUCGUACAUCUUCACGAUCGACCGAUCCUAAUACCGAAAGUACGGCACCUCCGCGAUCUGCACAUGUUCAGCUCGGUGACAUCCCAUGAACUCAGGAUCCAGUAGAGUGUCGAGGGGGAGCUUCGUCAGCAUGACGGUGAUGAUGAAGCUACCGGCGCAGAGUUUCGCCUAAGCACUACGACGAUACGACUGAGGUGGAUUAUGGUGGAGGGGGGCACCGCACACGGCUAAGAGAUCAAUGAUCAACUUGUGUCUAUGGGGUGCCCCCCUCCCCCGUAUAUAAAGGAGUGGAGGAGGGGGAGAGGGCCGGCCUCCUAGGCGCGCCCAAGGGGGGAGUCCUACUCCCGGUGGGAGUAGGAUUCUGUUGGGGAACAUAAUAAUUUCAAAAACUUUCCUACGCACACGCAAGAUCAUGGUGAUGCAUAGCAAUGAGAGAGGAGAGUGUUGUCUACGUACCCUCGUAGACCGUAAGUGGAAGCGUUAUGACAACGAGGUUGAUGUAGUCGUAUGUCUUCACGAUCGACCGAUCCUAGUACCGGAAGUACGACACCUCCGCGAUCUGCACACGUUCGGCUCGGUGACGUCCCACGAACUCACGAUCCAGCAGAGUAUCGGGGAAGAGCUUCGUCAGCAUGACGGCGUGAUGAUGGUGAUGAUGAAGCUACCGGCGUAGGGCUUCGCCUAAGCACCAAUGAUAUGAUCGAGGUGGAUUAUGGUGGAGGGGGGCACUGCACAUGGCUAAGAACAAUGUCUGUUGUGUGUUCUAGGGUGCCCCCUGCCCCCGUAUAUAAAGGAGCAAGGGGGGAGGCUGGCUGGCCUAGGGCGCGCGAAGGAGAGGGGGGAGUCCUCCUAGUAGGAGUAGGACUACCCCUUUCCUAGUCCAACUAGGAAGGGGGAAGGGGAAAGGAAGGAGAGGGAGAGAGGGAGGAAAGAGGGGGCGCCCCCUCCUUGUCCAAUUCGGACUCCCAAGGGGAGGGGGCGGCCAGCCCAUGGCUCCCUCCUUUCUCUCUCGCAAGGCCCAUGUUGGCCCAUUAGUUCCCCCGGGGUUCCGAUAACCCUCCGGCACUCCGAUAAUUAUUCGGUGACCCCCGUAACAUUUCCGGUGUCUGAAUAUAGUCAUCCAAUAUAUCAAUCUUUAAGUCUCGACCAUUUCAAGACUUCUCGUCAUGUUCGUGAUCACAUUCGGGACUCCGAACUAUCUUCGGUACAUCAAAACACAUAAACUCAUAAUAUCGAUCAUGACCGAACGUUAAGCGUGCGGACCCUACGGGUUCGAGAACUAUGUAGACAUGACCGAGACACGUCUCCGGUCAAUAACCAAUAGCGGAACCUGGAUGUUCAUAUUGGCUCCCACAUAUUCUACGAAGAUCUUUAUCGGUCAAACCGCAUAACAACAUACGUUGUUCCCUUUAUUAUCGUAUGUUACUUGCCCGAGAUUCGAUAGUCGGUAUCUCAAUACCUAGUUCAAUCUCGUUACUGGCAAGUCUAUUUACUCGUUCCAUAAUGCAUCAUCCCGCAACUAACUCAUUAGCCACAUUGCUUGCAAGGCUUAUAGUGAUGUGCAUUACCGAGAGGGCCCAGAGAUACCUCUCCGACAAUCGGAGUGACAAAUCAUAAUCUCGAUCUAUGCCAACUCAACAAGUACCAUCGGAGACACCUGUAGAGCACCUUUAUAAUCACCCAGUUACGUUGUGACGUUUGGUAGCACACGAAGUGUUCCUCCGGUAUUCGGGAGUUGCAUAAUCUCAUAGUCAUAGGAACAUGUAUAAGUCAUGAAGAAAGCAAUAGCAAUAUACUAAACGAUCAAGUGCUAAGCUAACGGAAUGGGUCAAGUCAAUCACAUCAUUCUCUAAUGAUGUGAUCCCGUUAAUCAAAUGACAACUCAUGUCUAUGGCAACGAAACUUAACCAUCUUUGAUUCAACGAGCUAGUCAAGUAGAGGCAUACUAGUGACACUCUUUUUGUCUAUGUAUUCACACAUGUACUAAGUUUCCGGUUAAUACAAUUCUAGCAUGAAUAAUAAACAUUUAUCAUGAUAUAAGAAAAUAUAAAUAACAACUUUAUUAUUGCCUCUAGGGCAUAUUUCCUUUAGUCUCCCACUUGCACUAGAGUCAAUAAUCUUGAUUAUACAGUAAUGAUUCUAACACCCAUAGAGUCUUUGUGCUGAUCAUGUUUUGCUCGUGAGAGAGGCUUAGUCAACGGGUCUGCAACAUUCAGAUCCGUAUGUAUCUUGCAAAUCUCUAUGUCUCCCUCCUUGACUUGAUCACGGAUGGAAUUGAAGCGUCUCUUGAUGUGCUUGGUUCUCUUGUGAAAUUUGGAUUCCUUUGCCAAGGCAAUUGCACCAGUCACAAAAGAUUUUCAUUGGACCUGAUGCACUAGGUAUGACACCUAGGUCGGAUAUGAACUCCUUCAUCCAGACUCCUUCAUUUGCCGCUUCCAAAGAAGCUAUGUACUCUGCUUCACACGUAAUCCCGCCACAAUGCUUUGUUUAGAACAGCACCAACUAACAGCUCCACCAUUCAAUAUAAAUACGUAUCCGGUUUGUGACUUAGAGUCAUCCGGAUCAGUGUCAAAGCUUUCAUCGAUGUAACCAUUGCUCUUUAUCACCUCCAUAAACGAGAAACAUAUCCUUAGUCCUUUUUAGGUAUUUCAGGAUGUUUAGACCGUUGUCUAGUGAUCCACUCCUGGAUUACUUUGGUACCUCCCUGCUAAAUUGAUAGCAAGGCACAACAACAUUGCAUACAUGAUAGAGCCUAUGGCUGAAGCAUAGGGAACACCUUUCAUUUUCUCUCUAUCUUGUGCAGUGGUCGGGCAUUGAGUCUGACUCAACUUCACACCUUGUAACACACGCAAGAACCCUUUCUUUGCUUGAUCCAUUUUGAACUUCUUCAAAACUUUAUCAAGGUAUGUGCUUUGUGAAAGUCCAAUUAAGCGUCUCGAUCUAUCUCUAUAGAUCUUGAUGCCCAAUAUAUAAGCAGCUUCACCGAGGUCUUUCAUUGAAAAACUCUUGUUCAAGUAUCCUUUUAUGCUAUCCAGAAAUUCUAUAUCAUUUCCAAUCAGCAAUAUGUCAUCCACAUAUAAUAUUCGAAAUGCUAAAGAGCUCCCACUCACUUUCUUGUAAAUACAGGCUUCUCCAAAAGUUUAUAUAAAACCAUAUGCUUUGAUCACACUAUUAAAACGUUUAUUCCAACUCCGAGAUGCUUGCACCAGUCCAUAAAUGGAUCGUUAGAGCUUGCACACUUUGUUAGCAUCCUUUGGAUCGAUAAAACCUUCAGGUGGCAUCAUAUACAACUCUUCUUUCAUAAAUCCAUUCAGGAAUGCAGUCUUCAUAAUCAUAAAAUGCAGCAAUUGCUAACAUGAUUCGGACGAACUUAAGCAUCGCUACGGGUGAGAAGGUCUCAUCGUAGUCAACUCCUUGAACUUGUCGAAAACCUUUCACAACAAGUUGAGCUUUGUAGACAGUAACAUUACCGUUAGCGUCAGUCUUCUUCUUGAAGAUCCAUUUAUGCUCGAUGGCUUGCCGAUCAUCGGGCAAGUCAACCAAAGUCCACACUUUGUUCUCAUACAUGGACCCCAUCUCAGAUUUCAUGACCUCAAGCCAUUUCGUAGAAUCUGGGCUCAUCAUUGCUUCCUCAUAGUUCGUAGGUUCAUCAUGGUCAAGUAACAUGACCUCCAGAACAGGAUUACGUACCACUCUGGUACGGAUCUUACUCUGGUUGACCUACGAGGUUCGGUAGUAACUUGAUCUGAAGUUACAUGAUCAUCAUCAUUAGCUUCCUCACUAAUUGGUGUAGGAGUCACAGGAACAAAUUUCUGUGAUGAACUACUUUCCAAUAAGGGAGCAGGUAUAGUUACCUCAUCAAGUUCUGCCUUCCUCCCACUCACUUCUUUGGAGAGAAACUCCUUCUCUAGAAAGAAUCCAUUCUUAGCAACGAAUGUCUUGCCUUCGGAUCUGUGAUAGAAGGUGUACCCAACAGUCUCCUUUUGGUAUCCUAUGAAGACACAUUUCUCCGAUUUGGGUUCGAGCUUACCAGGUUGAAGCUUUUUCACAUAAGCAUCGCAACCCCAAACUUUAAGAAACGACAACUUUGGUUUCUUGCCAAACCACAGUUCAUAAGGUGUCAUCUCAACGGAUUUAGAUGGUGCCCUAUUUAACGUGAAUGCAGCCGUCUCUAAAGCAUAACCUCAAAACGAUAGCGGUAAAUCAGUAAGAGACAUCAUAGAUCGCACCAUAUCUAGUAAAGUAUGAUUACGACAUUCGGACACACCAUUACGUUGUGGUGUUCCGGGUGGCGUGAGUUGCGAAACUAUUCCGCAUUGUUUCAAAUGAAGACCAAAGUCGUAACUCAAAUAUUCUCCUCCACGAUCAGAUCGUAGAAACUUUAUUUUCUUGUUACGAUGAUUUUCCACUUCAUUCUGAAAUUCUUUGAACUUUUCAAAUGUUUCAGACUUAUGCUUCAUCAAGUAGAUAUACCCAUAUCUGCUCAAAUCAUCUGUGAAGGUGAGAAAAUAACAAUACCCGCCGCGAGCCUCAACAUUCAUCGGACCAAAUACAUCAGUAUGCAUGAUUUCCAACAAAUCUGUUGCUCGCUCCAUUGUUCUGGAGAACGGAGUUUUAGUCAUCUUGCCCAUGAGGCAUGGUUCGCAAGUACCAAGUGAUUCAAAAUCAAGUGAUUCCAAAAGUCCAUCAGAAUGGAGUUUCUUCAUGCGCUUUACACCAAUAUGACCCAAACGACAGUGCCACAAAUAAGUUGCACUAUCAUUAUCAACUCUGCAUCUUUUGGCUUCAAUAUUAUGAAUAUGUGUAUCACUACUAUCGAGAUUCAAUAAAAAUAGACCACUCUUCAAGGGUGCAUGACCAUAAAAGAUAUUACACAUAUCAAUAGAACAACCAUUAUUCUGUGAUUUAAAUGAAUAACCGUCUCGCAUCAAACAAGAUCCAUAUAUAAUGUCCAUGCUCAACGCUGACACCAAAUAACAAUUAUUCAGGUCUAAAACUAAUCCCGAAGGUAGAUGUAGAGGUAGUGUGCCGACCGCGAUCAUAUCGACUUUGGAACCAUUUCCCACACGCAUCGUCGCCUCGUCCUUAGCCAAUCUUCGCUUAAUCCGUAGUCCCUGUUUCGAGUUGCAAAUAUUAGCAACAGAACCAGUAUCAAAUACCCAGGUGCUAGUGCGAGCAUUCACAUCAAUAACAUGUAUAUCACAUAUACCUUUGUUCACGUUGCCAUCCUUCUUAUCCGCCAAAUACUUGGGGCGGUUCCGCUUCCAGUGACCACUCCCUUUGCAGUAAAAGCACUCAGUCUCAAGCUUAGGUCCAGACUUGGGCUUCUUCACUUGAGAAGCAACUUGCUUGCUGUUCUUCUUGAAGUUCCCCUUCUUCCCUUUACCCUUUUUUCUUGAAACUGGUGGUUUUGUUGACCAUCAACACUUGAUGCUCCUUCUUGAUUUCAACCUCCGCAGCCUUUAGCAUUGCGAAGAUCUCGGGAAUUGUCUUAUCCAUCCCUUGCAUGUUAUAGUUCAUCACGAAGCUCUUGUAGCUUGGUGGCAGUGAUUGAAGAAUUCUGUCAAUGACACUAUCAUCGGGAAGAUUAACUCCUAGUUGAAUCAAGUGAUUGUUAUACCCAUACAUUUUCAGUAUAUGCUCAGUGACAGAACUUUCUCCUCCAUCUUGCAGCUCUGGAACUUAUUGGAGACUUCAUAUCUCUCAAUCCGGGCAUUUGCUUGAAAUAUUAACUUCAACUCCUAGAACAUCUCAUAUGCUCCAUGACGUUCAAAACGUCGUUGAGGUCCCGGUUCUAAGCCGUAAAGCAUGGCACACUGAACUAUCGAGUAGUCAUCAGCUUUUCUUUGUCAGACGUUCAUAACAUCUCGUGUUGCUCCUGCAGCGGGUUUGGCACCUCUUCCAAGACGUAAUUCUUCUAUGCAGCAAUGAGGAUAAUUCUCAAGUUACGGACCCAGUCCGUGUAGUUGCUACCAUUAUCUUUCAACUUAGCUUUCUCUAGGAACGCAUUAAAAUUCAACGGAACAACAUCACGGGCCAUCUAUCUACAACAACAUAGACAUGCAAAAUACUAUCAGGUACUAAGUUCAUGAUAAAUUAAAGUUCAAUUAAUCAUAUUACUAAAGAACUCCCACUUAGAUAGACAUCCCUCUAAUCAUCUAAGUGAUCACGUGAUCCAUAUCAAUUAAACCAUGUCCGAUCAUCACGUGAGAUGGAGUUGUUUUCAAUGGUGAACAUCACUACGUAGAUCAUAUCUACUAUAUGAUUCAUGCUCGACCUUUCGGUCUCAGUGUUCCGAGGCCAUAUCUGCAUAUGCUAGGCUCGUCAAGUUUAACCCGAGUAUUCUGUGUGUGCAAAACUGGCUUGCACCCGUUGUAUGUGAAUGUAGAGCUUAUCACACCCGAUCAUCACAUGGUGUCUCGGCACGACAAACUUUUGCAACGGUGCAUACUCAGGGAGAACACUUGUACCUUGAAAUUUAGUGAGAGAUCAUCUUAUAGUGCUACCAUCAAACUAAGCAAAAUAAGAUGCAUAAAGGAUAAACAUCACAUGCAAUCAAUAUAAGUGAUAUGAUAUGGCCAUCAUCAUCUUGUGCCUUUGAUCUCCAUAUCCAAAGCACCGUCAUGAUCACCAUCUUCACCGGCGCGACACCUUGAUCUCCAUCGUAGCAUCGUUGUCGUCUCGCCAACUAUUGCUUCUACGACUAUCGCUACCGCUUAGUGAUAAAGUAAAGCAAUUACAUGGCGACUGCAUUUCAUACAAUAAAGCGACAACCAUAUGGCUCCUGCCAGUUGCCGAUAACUUUGUUACAAAACAUGAUCAUCUCAUACAAUAAAAUUUAGCAUCAUGUAUUGACCAUAUCACAUCACAACAUGCCCUGCAAAAACAAGUUAGACAUCCUCUACUUUGUUGUUGCAAGUUUUAUGUGGCUGCUAUGGGCUGAGCAAGAACCGUUCUUACCUACGCAUCAAAAACAUAACGAUUUUUCGUCAAAUAUGUGUUGUUUUAACCUUCAACAAGGACCGGACGUAGCCAUACUCGAUUCAACUAAAGUUGGAGAAACUGACACCCGCCAGCAACCUGUGUGCGAAGCACGUCGGUAGAACCAGUCCCGCGUAAGCGUACGCGUAAUGUUGGUCCAGGCCGCUUCAUCCAACAAUACCGCCGAAUCAAAGUAUGACAUUCUGGUAAGCAGUAUGACUAUUAUCGCCCACAACUCACUUGUGUUCUACUCGUGCAUAUAACAUCUACGCAUAAACCUGACUCUGAUACCAUUGUUGGGGAACGUAUUAAUUUUGAAAUUUUCCUACGCACACUCAAGAUCAUGGUGAUGCAUAGCAACGAGAAGGGAGAGUGUUGUCCACAUAACCUCGUAGACCGAAAGCAGAAGCGUUAUGACAACGCGGUUGAUGUAGUCGUAUGUCUUCACGAUCGACCGAUCCUAGUACAGAAAGUACGGCACCUCCGCGAUCCGCACACGUUCAGCUCGGUGACGUCCCACGAACUCACGAUCCAGUAGAGUGUCGAUGGAGAGCUUCGUCAGCAUGACGGCGUGAUGACGGUGAUGAUGAAGCUACCGGCGCAGGGCUUUGCCUAAGCACUACGACGAUAUGACCGAGGUGGAUUAUGGUGGAGGGGGGCACCGCACACGGUUAAGAGAUCAAUGAUCAACUUGUGUCUAUGGGGUGCCCCCCUCCCCCGUAUAUAAAGGAGUGGAGGGGGGGAGGGGGAGAGGGCCGGCCUCCUAGGCGCGCCCAAGGGGGGAGUCCUACUCCCGAUGGGAGUAGGAUUCCCCCUUCCCUAGUUGGAGUAGGAGAGGGAAGGAAAGGGGGGCCGGGCCCCCUCCCAAUUCGGAUUGGGCUUGGGGGGGGGGGGCGCCCCCACCUUGGCCUCCUCCUCCUCCUUUCCACUAUGGCCCAUUAAGUCCCAUAGACUCUCCGGGGGGUCCGGUAACCCCCCAGUACUCUGGUAUAUGCCCGAACUCUCUCGAAACCUUUCUGAUGUCCAAACAUAGUCAUCCAAUAUAUCGAUCUUUAUCUCUCGACCAUUUCGAGACUCCUCGUCAUGUCCGUGAUCAUAUCCGGUACUCUGAACUACCUUUGGUACAUCAAAACACAUAAACUCAUAAUACCGAUCGUCACUGAACGUUAAGUGUGCGGACCCUACGGGUUCAAGAACUAUGUAGACAUGACCGAGACACGUCUCCGGUCAAUAACCAAUAGCGGAACCUGAAUGCUCAUAUUGGCUCCCACAUAUUCUACGAAGAUCUUCAUCGGUCAAACCGCAUAACAACAUACGUUGUUCCCUUUGUCAUCGGUAUGUUACUUGCCCUAGAUUCGAUCGUCGGUAUCUCAAUACCUAGUUCAAUCUCGUUACCGGCAAGUCUCUUUACUCGUUCCGUAAUUCAUCAUCCCGCAACUAACUCAUUUGUCACAUUGCUUGCAAGGCUUAUAGUGAUGUGCAUUACCGAGAGGGCCCAGAGAUACCUCUCCUACAAUCGGAGUGACAAAUCAUAAUCUUGAUCUAUGCCAACUCAACAAAUACCAUCGGAGACACCUGUAGAGCAUCUUUAUAAUCACCGAGUUACGUUGUGACGUUUGGUAGCACACAAAGUGUUCCUCCGGUAUUCGGGAGUUGCAUAAUCUCAUAGUCAUAGGAACAUGUAUAAGUCAUGAAGAAAGCAAUAGCAAUAUACUAAACGAUCAAGUGCUAAGCUAACGGAAUGGGUCAAGUCAAUCACAUCAUUCUCUAAUGAUGUGAUCCCGUUAAUCAAAUGACAACUCAUGUCUAUGGCUAGGAAGCUUUACCAUCUUUGAUUCAACGAGCUAGUCAAGUAGAGGCAUACUAGUGACACUCUGUUUGUCUAUGUAUUCACACAUGUACUAAGUUUCCGGUUAAUACAAUUCUAGCAUGAGUAAUAAACAUUUAUCAUGAUAUAAGGAAAUAUAAAUAACAACUUUAUUAUUGCCUCUAGGGCAUAUUUCCUUGAAUGUGCUCCACAAGAUCAUCGAGUAGUUGCGUGUGCACCUGCUGAUUUCGAAGAUUUUGAUGCAUCUGCAGAAAGUUCAUAAGCCGAGCCGCAUCUUGAUCUUCUGGAAUUUCAACUUCUUCUCUGGGUGCUUAGAAAUCAUGGGUUUGGGCUACACCAUCACCCUCAUCCUCGACAAUCAUAUUGUGCAGAAUAACACAACAUGUCAUCAGCUGUCACAAAGUUUCUGAUUCCCACAUCAUUGCAGCGCUCCACACAAUUCCCCAACGAGGCUGAAGCACACCAAAUUCCCUCUCCACGUCCUUCCUAGCCACUUCAUGCAUUGUUCCAGAGUGGCUCUGUUUGUUGCCAUAUGCAGCUCGGCUAUGGUUUUCACAAACACCGCCAACUGAGGAUAGAUACCAUCGGCAAGAUAGUACCCCAUGUUGUAGUCCCGGCCGUUGACGGUGUAGUUGCACGGCGGUGAUUCCCCAUUGCAAAGUGAUGUAGUGUGGAACCCUAUAGUGUCGAUCUUUCACGUUUGGAGUGGAUCCUACGGGGGGAAUCACGAAGAACACGCGGAAGCACAAGGGGAAACACGGGGAAAACGAGAGAGAAUCACUCAACCAACAAGGAAUCGAUCACACAAGUGCUAGAUCACCACACACAUAAGAGAUCCACAAGAUACAAAGUCAACUAAGGUAAGGAUACAAAGGAACCGUUCAUCUCCAAGAGGAGGCCUUGAUGUUCUUCCCUAGAUAGGGGUCUUGAAUCCGCUGGGGGAUCUUCUCCGAAGAGGUACUGAGCUCCGAGGAGAAGUAACCGAGUGGAUGAGCAAAGGCUCUCACACAAAUAUGAGCUAAUCCAAUGCUAACCCUCAAAAUGGGGAGGGGGAGGUCUAUUUAUAGUGCUAAGCCACGAAGGGGUAAGUGAGGGGCGAAGGGGUACACGGGCCUCGGCCCAAGUCAUGCGCACAGGCAAGGUCGGAUGAUUCGGACGGGGUCCCGGAUGAUCCGGGCGUCGGGGUCCGGAUGAUCCGGCUUCGGCAGAAGCCUUCGGGUGUCUUCGACGCAGUUACCCGGACGAUCCGGACGGAGUCCCGGAUGAUCCGGCUGGGCCCGGAUGAUCCGGACGGCGGUCCGGAUGUCCGGCCUGGCUCCAGCAGCCGCUCCGUCUUCUUCUUCCUUCUCCUCUUCCAUGCUUGGCCUUGAUCCUUGGAUUCUCCAUGGUCAUCUUGGUUGUACCUGAGUGUAUGCAAGGUCCAUGCAUGAGGUAGUAGCCGUGUCUCAUAUGCGGAAAGUGACGGUUCGAAGAGGAGUGAGUUCACCUUGUGUCAAAUGGCGCAUAGUCGAGGUCUCAUCUUAUGUAUCCUUGGGGCUUGGAGAGUAGUCGGAGUGUACAUGGGGAUGAACGUGGGAUGCUCCGCAUCAUAUCCCCCCCUUGGGAAAGAUCCGACCUCGGAUCAUGAUCCUCAUCACCAUGGAAACGGGUGUCAUGGACGGACUUGUAGUGGGACGUAGGUGAAGGCCUUGCGCAAUCCAAGUACUCUAAGGUGUCUCCGGUAUGUGGUACAUGCAAAAUGAGCAAACACAAAGUACACUUGGAAAUACAAUGGUUAGCGCACACAAAGUGUCCAUCAUGUAGGAAUGAGUCCGUGCGGCAAGAUAGUGCGUGGCAAGACACAAGAUGCUUAUCCAAAAGAAGUAGAAUGGGAUGUAAAGCAUUCAUGGGAUAAUUAGCAUGGUGCCCAAAGCGACAAAUUCUACCAUUGUGGAAAAUGAUGUCAUAAUGGGUUGGUGCAUCAAAAGCAUGAACAUGGCGAUGGAUGCUCAAUAUGUAUAUGUUAUCAUGCAAUUUAUGGUGGGCAAUAUGAUCAUGAUGUAUGAAUAUGCCAUCAAGGAAGAUCACAACAAAUUUGCUAAGGAAAUGCACAAGCUCAUAUAUCAUGGAUGACAUGGGAAUACAAGAUGCAACAAGGCAAUCAUAAUGUGAGUCAAUCCAUGCAUGAUGUGCAAACUUGUGGUAAGUAUGAUAUGUCCAUCGAGCUUGACAUGUAUGAGCACAAUCAACAAAUAUGAAGGUGGUAGUGUACCCAAGCUCGAUGUCGAGGCAUGAGUGGAGUGCCGAAGGUGCAUCCCAUAAGUGCAAGCGCUCCUCAAUGUGAAGGUCCAUAGAGCCAAUCUCCAAUGUUGCUCCUCCAUCCAAUAGAUGUAACAUGUAGACAACAAGAAGGAAACAACAAUGAAAGAGUGACCCAUCCAAUAUGCGUAUUUGAGGAUGGCUCAAAGAGAAGGAGGUCACCUUUAGGAGUUUCUCAAGGAUGAUGGAGUCGCACAUCUCGUAUGCCUUCACAUAACCAAUAUGUCUCAUGGUGGUCCCGCCUUGUAAAUCCUUCACAAUGAAAGAACAUGACAAACACUUGGAAAAACAAAUGAGGGUAGCAAAAUGGCAAAAUCGAUCAUUCGUGUGGUAAGAUACCCAACAAGUGUAUGUAUCAUGCUCAUCAUAAGAAAUGACAAGGGAGUAUUGCAUAGUAUGGAGGCAUAUGAUGCAAGAACAACCAAAUGCAAUAGGUUCAAUCAAACAAACAUGCAUCACAAGUAAAGUGUCCAAGUCUCCAAGAUCAAUAAGCAUAGCAAGUUGGCACUCAAUACAAGGUGAUAUGAGAGAUGCAACUAAUGGAGACAAGAGGUAAUGAUCAUGACAAAUCAAGUGAGAGGCAUCAACAUCUAUGUCAUCAACCCAAGAAAGCAAGUAAUAGUGGAACAUGGGUGAUGCAACAUAGCAAGCAAUCAUAGCGAUCAAGUCAAGCAAGCUAGUAGUGCGAAGAUGCAACAUACUAGAAGGAAUCAUGGCAAGCAUGUAAUGUGUGCAAAUAGUGGGCAUGAAUAAUUCACAUGUCAUAGCACAAGCAUGGAAGCAAGGUAUGAGUAAAAUAUCAUCAAUGUAUUGGCGAGAGGCCAUAUGUGAAUAGCAACGGGUCAUCAUGACUCUCCUAACACAACAAGCAUCAAUAGCAUGGGGCACAUGAUAAACAUGCCAAAAGCAACAAGGAUCUCCACCAAGCAUGCAAAUACACAUAGAAGUAGCAUAAUGGUGAAUCAUGGGUAGAUGCAAGCAAGGGUCACAAUUGCAUGGUAAAGGCAUAAGAGCACGCAUAACAUGCAAAGUGAACACAAUAGUAUGGGCAUAAGGUGACAAGUGGUAAAUAUCCCAUAGCCGUAUGAGAGCCAAGUAAAAGAGAUGUGCGUAGUCCUUGCGCGAAGGGAACGGUGGUAAGGAUAGUCCACGGGAUCCCAAGUCAUCAUUGCUCCCAAGAGCUCGUUUCGUCAACUCCUGAGAUUGAGAGGUUGACGAGUAUACGUGAGUACCUACACAAAAGAAAGACAAAGGAAAAAUUGUGUGUGCGUGGUAUAUGUACACAUCAUCCAUCAUGAUGCGCACGUGCAUGUGUUUGUUAGCACAAAAUAGCCAAUGCUCAAAUAAAUGAGAUGCGUGAUAUAGAAACAUGUCAUCCAUCAUGAGAGGUUUGUUAUUAUGUAUGUCAUAAUGGAGACUCAAAUUGUGUAAUGCAUCAUGAGAAAUAUCUAGAGCAUUGUUAUUCAUGGAAUGCAUAAGGUGCAUGCAAUCGUGGGAAUCAUGCAAAGUAUGGAAUGCGUCAAGAUCUCCUAAUAUGUAUGGGGAAACUAUGGGGGUCUCCUCAUGAGCAUGAGUAGCAACAUCACAUGGACAAUAUUCACAACAUCCAAAACAAUGCAUAUUUGGAGCAAUGUGAUCAUGGCAUGACAUAGUAGAUGAAUUGUGAAAAUCAUGUAAAGGAAGCAUGGCAAUAUCAUCACAUGAAAAACAAAAGCCAAUGACCAUCAUCUCGUCAUCUAUGCCAUAAGUGCAAAUGGGAUUGAUUUUAAUGGGGUAUGCAUAGUUACUAUGUUGAGAUUGAAAUGAUGCAAUAUGGGAGAUCUCACUCAUAGCAUAUGACAAGUUCAAUGGGUUGUCAAACAUGAUGUGACCAAAAGAAUUUUCACAUGAUAUCCUAUGAAGCAUAGCAUCACAACUAGGCAACUCAACAUGCUCAUCAUCAUAUUCAUCAUAAAUAGGUAAGUCAAGGCAUGAAGGAGUUUCACUAGCAUGAAGCAUGGUAAUAGGUGGGUCAACAUCAUGGGAGCAAUCAAUGUCAAGAGAGUCCACUAGUGGGACAAGAGAAGCACCAUCACCUAUGUUACCUUUGGAGCGUCGCUCAUGUGUUGUAGGUGAGGUGUUGAAGAUCGUCUCGUUGUCAUCUUCAUCUUGAUGGAACCAUGUGGGGGUGCAUCAUCGUCCAUCAUGGCCAUCGUCGUCUCCAUAGGAGGUAUGGACUCAUCAAUGGUAGGCAUGUCGUCAUGUAGGAGACCUAGCACCAAAGAAGAAAACACACUAGGAGUAGAGGUUAAGUCGUUAGAAAUCAUAGUGGCCUCACAUGCCGUGUCAACUACCUCACUCUCUAAGUGUUGUGGCUCACUCACUCCCUCAAGGAUGCUCUCACUCAUAUGGCUGGUGGAGUCACUCAAAUGGCGCUCAACCUCACAUAGGAUGUGUGGCAUGCUCUCAUGUGUGAGGCUAGUGGUGGUCACACUCAUCCUCUCAUAGGAAAUGCUCUCAAUGUCACGUAUGGUGGAGUCACUCAUGUCACUCAUGGGGUGGUGGCUCUCCUCACAUGAAAAAUGGGGCAUCUCGACAUAUGUGGGUGUCGGAGAGAUGUAGGUGCAAAUGUCUCCAUGCUCAACUCCUAUCGCCGUGGUCGAAGGGGAUGGCCCUUGCUCGACCUUCUUGUCACCGUCUUGGUGUGGGAGGCCCAUAUGAUGUGGCACCUCAUAGCUCGUCUCCAUGACCGAAGGGAGUGUCCCAUGCUCGACCAUCUUCCUUGAGGGGCUUCCUAAGAUGGAAGUGUCACCCUCGCUCGGAGGUCGUCGCCUUGGACUUGAUGAAGUCGAUGUAGGCGUACUCGUGGGAAGUAGGCGAAGAUGUCGUACGUCCAAAGGCGAAGAUGCCUUGAUAGCACUUGGCGAAGAUGCCAAAGUGGUUGGUGUAGCCGUAGCGCCGUCUUGGUGGUGGUCGUCUCGCGGUCUUCUUUUGUGCUCUUGAAGCUUGGACUUGGCGUGAAGUAGGGCUUGUUGGGACUUGUGCAUUUGCGCUUGUGGAGCAUCUUCAUGAUGAUGAUGUCGUUGUCGUGCUUGAGCUCGUAGUAGAUGUCGUUCGUCGUCGUCGUGCACAUGAUGCUUGGAGGUGACUUGCCCUUCAUGGCGGUGAUGAUCAUGAACGUGAUGGUGAUCGCCAUGUAGAUGUGGACGAGGACGAUUUGCACUUGCAUCUUUUUCGCGCUCCGAAGACUUGUGGCUUGACCGUCAUCGUCUUGAGGAUGAUGAAGUGGAAGAAGACUUGAUCAAGGCCCGAAUCUCUUCCAUCCUCGCAUCUUGCUCCUCCUUUUGUGCGGCAAGCUUGUUGUCGAUGUAGUCCCUUUUCCUUGCUUCGGAGUGGAAAAUGUCGAUGGAGAGGUUCUCAAUGCGCUCUUGCAAUUUUGAUUGUGCGCCUUGCAUUUGUCGUUGUAGUCCGAAGAUGGACCUUUUGGUGAUGUAGUUGUUCACGCCGUCGUUGUUGUCGUAGACCGGAGAGGAAAUGCCUUGCCUAUCCAUCACAAGACUCGAGCAAAUAUGAGUGGGAGAAAGAGAAGAACUUAUACCAAUGUACCUUGACCGAUGUUGACAAUAAAUCAAGUUCACUCAAAUGCGGACAAUGAAAUAACACUAUUGGUACCAAUCCUUGUCCGUUCUCACACCUACACAAGUAAAGCUUAUAGUGGAGCUCGGUGAGGAUAGUGGCACAAAAAUUUAAUGCAAAAUGUUAGCAAGAGUCAAUAAUGUUGAAAAAGAUUCACAAAUUCGCAAGUGAAACAAAUGGACCAAUAGCAAAGAAUGGCACAUGGAAAUACACACACGGAUAGAUAAAUGGGGUCGUGCAACCAAGGAGUGAGCACAAAAUGUGGAAUCCAGGGAAAACACUCGUGUUGCACAACUCAAGAGAGACGUUAGUACGAUUGCUCAAUAGGCGGAUACGACACUUGUGCACAACCUAUAGAUGCAAGAUGGGCAAACUUUCUAUCCCAAGUAUGCUAUGUAUGUAUGGUUCCCGGUGUUUCUCUCAAGCAUGAUAUCAUAUGAUGUAGAUUUUGGUAUGGCUCUUAUGUGCAAUGGGGUAUGAUGCUAUGGCACUUGCUCACGAGCUCUUUGCUCUCUUUUUGCUUAAAAGCUUUUUCUCUUUUUUCUCUAUGGCCACUUUUGCACAAUGCACAAACCAAGAUAGCAAUUGUGUAUAUGCGGGAACAAACUUGAGGCACAAUGGAUGAUAUGAUACCAAGAUGAUAUGGUAUGUAUGUAAUGGAAGGUAUGAUCACUAAUGUGCACAAGUAACAUUGCCGGCAAUACUCAAAUGGCUAGUCUCGAUAGGCAAGUAACGCAAAAUGGGCUAGGGGUUAACAUGCAAUUGCAAGGGAAUAUUGUUGGGGAACAUAGCAGAAAUUCAAAAUUUUCCUACGUGUCACCAAGAUCUAUCUAUGGAGAAACCAGCAACAAGGGGAAGGAGAGUGCAUCUACAUACCCUUGUAGAUUGCUAAGCGGAAGCGUUCAAGAGAACGGGGUCGAAGGAGUCGUACUCGUCGUGAUCCAAAUCACCGGAGAUCCUAGUGCCGAACGGACGGCACCUCCGCGUUCAACACACGUACAGCCCGGUGACGUCUCCCACGCCUUGAUCCAGCAAGGAGAGAGGGAGAGGUUGAGGAAGACUCCAUCCAGUAGCAGCACGACGGCGUGGUGGUGGUGGAGGAGCGUGGCAAUCCUGCAGGGCUUCGCCAAGCACCUGCGGGAGAGGAGGAGGUGUCACGGGAGGGAGGGAGGCGCCAGGGCUUCAGGUAUGGCUGCCCUCCCUCCCCUCCACUAUAUAUAGGGGCAAGGGAGAGGGGGGAGGUGCAGCCUUGCACCUUCCUCCAAGGAAGGGGUGCGGCCAAGAGGGGGGGAGGAGUCCAUCCUCCCCAAGGCACCUCGGAGGUGCCUUCCCCCUUGAGGACUCUUCCCUCCCCAAGUUUCCUUGGCGCAUGGGCCUCUUGGGGCUGGCGCCCUUGGCCCAUAUAGGCCAAGGCGCACCCCCUACAGCCCAUGUGGCCCCCCGGGGCAGGUGGACCCCCCCGGUGGACCCCCGGACCCCUUUCGGCACUCCCGGUACAAUACCGAUAAAGUGCGAAACUUUUCCGGCGACCAAAAUAAGACUUCCCAUAUACAAAUCUUUACCUCCGGACCAUUCCGGAACUCCUCGUGACGUCCGGGAUCUCAUCCGAGACUCCAAACAACAUUCUGUAACCACAUACAAACUUCCUUUAUAACCCUAGCGUCAUCGAACCUUAAGUGUGUAGACCCUACGGGUUCGGGAGACAUGUAGACAUGACCGAGACGUUCUCCGGUCAAUAACCAGCAGCGGGAUCUGGAUACCCAUGUUGGCUCCCACAUGUUCCACGAUGAUCUCAUCGGAUGAACCACGAUGUCAAGGACUCAAUCAAUCCCGUAUACAAUUCCCUUUGUCUAACGAUAUUGUACUUGCCCGAGAUUCGAUCGUCGGUAUACCGAUACCUUGUUCAAUCUCGUUACUGGCAAGUCUCUUUACUUGUUCCAUAACACAUCAUCCCGUGAUCAACCCCUUGGUCACAUUGUGCACAUUAUGAUGAUGUCCUACCGAGUGGGCCCAGAGAUACCUCUCCGUUUACACGGAGUGACAAAUCCCAGUCUCGAUUUGUGCCAACCCAACAGACACUUUCGGAGAUACCUGUAGUGCACCUUUAUAGUCACCCAGUUACGUUGUGACGUUUGGUACACCCAAAGCAUUCCUACGGUAUCCGGGAGUUGCACAAUCUCAUGGUCUAAGGAAAAGAUACUUGACAUUAGAAAAGCUUUAGCAUACGAACUACACGAUCUUUGUGCUAGGCUUAGGAUUGGGUCUUGUCCAUCACAUCAUUCUCCUAAUGAUGUGAUCCCGUUAUCAACGACAUCCAAUGUCCAUAGCCAGGAAACCAUGACUAUCUGUUGAUCACAACGAGCUAGUCAACUAGAGGCUCACUAGGGACAUAUUGUGGUCUAUGUAUUCACACGUGUAUUACGAUUUCCGGAUAAUACAGUUAUAGCAUGAAUAAAAGACUAUUAUCAUGAACAAAGAAAUAUAAUAAUAACACUUUUAUUAUUGCCUCUAGGGCAUAUUUCCAACAGUCUCCCACUUGCACUAGAGUCAAUAAUCUAGUUCACAUCGCCAUGUGAUUAACACUGACAGGUCACAUCACCAUGUGACCAACAUCCAAAGAGUUUACUAGUGUCAUUAAACUAGUUCACAUCAUCAUGUGAUUAAGACUCAAUGAGUUCUGGGGUUUGAUCAUGUUUUGCUUGUGAGAGAGGUUUUAGUCAAUGGGUCUGCAACAUUCAGAUCCGUAUGUACUUCGCAAUUCUCUAUGUCAUAUUGUAAAUGCUACUUCCACGCUCCACUUGGAGCUAUUCCAAAUGGUUGUUCCAGUAUACGUAUCCGGUUUGCUACUCAGAGUCACUCGGAUAGGUGUCAAAGCUUUCAUCGACGUAACCCUUUAUGUCAAACUCUUUAUCACCUCCAUAAUCGAGAAACAUAUCCUUAUUCCUCUAAGGAUAACUUUGACCGCUAUCUAGUGAUCCACUCCUUGAUCACCUUUGUACCCUCUUGCCAGACAAGCGGCAAGGCACACAUCAGGUGCGGUACUUAGCAUAGCAUACUAUAGAGCCUACGUCUGAAGCAUAGGGGACGACCUUCAUCCUUUCUCUCUCUUCUGCCGUGGUCGAGCUUUAACUCUUAACUUCAUACCUUACAACUCAGGCAAGAACUCCUUCUUUGACUGAUCCAUCUUAAACUCCUUCAAGAUCACGUCAAGGUAUGUGCUCAUUUGAAAGUACCAUUAAGCAUUUUUGAUCUAUCCUCAUAGAUCUUGAUGCUCAAUGUUCAAGCAGCUUAAUCCAGGUUUUCCAUUGAAAAACACUUUUCAAACAACCCUAUAUGCUUUCUAGAAAUUCUACAUCAUUUCUGAUCAACAAUAUGUCAACAACAUAUACUCAUCAGAAAUUCUAUAGUGCUCCCACUCACUUCUUUGGAAAUAAAAGUUUCUCAUAAACUUUGUAUAAACCCAAAAUCUUUGAUCAUCUCAUCAAAGUGUAUAUUCCAACUCUGAGAUGCUUACUCCAGUCCUUGGAAGGAUUGCUGGAGCUUUGCAUACCUUUUAGCAUCCUUAGGAUCGACAAAACUUUCUGAUUGUAUCACAUACGACCUUUCCUUAUGAAAACUGGUAAGGAAACUCGUUUUGUCAUCCAUCUGCCAGAUUUCAUAAAUGCAGCUAAUGCUAACAUGAAUCCGACGGACUUAAGCAUCGCUACGGAUGAGAAAAUCUCAUCGUAGUAAACUCCUUGAACUUGUGAAAAACUCUUCGCCACAAGUCGAGCUUCAUAGACGGUGACAUUACCAUCCACGUCCGUCUUCUUCUUAAAGAUCCAUUUAUCUCAAUGGCUUGCCGAUCAUCGGGUAAGUCCACCAAAGUCCAUGCUUUGUUCUGAUACAUGGAUCCUAUCUCGGAUUUCAUGGCUUCUAACCAUUUGUCGGAAUUUGGGCCCACCAUCGCUUCUCCAUAGCUCGUAGGUUCAUUGUUGUCUAGCAACAUGACCUUCAAGACAGGAUCACCGUACCACUCCGAAGCAGUACGCGUCCUUGUCGUCCUACGAGGUUCGAUAGUGACUUGAUCCAAAGCUUCAUGAUCACUAUCAUAAGCUUCCACUUCAAUUGGCGUAGGUGCCACAGGAACAACUUCCUGUGCCCUGCUACACACUUGUUGAAGUGACGGUUCAAUAACCUCAUCAAGUCUCCACCAUCCUCCCACUCAACUUUUCGAGACAAACUUUUCCUCGAGAAAGGACCCGAUUCAAGAAACAAUCCCUAUUGCUUUCGGAUCUGAAUUAGGAGGUAUACCCAACUGUUUUUGGGUGUCCUAUGAAGAUGCAUUUUAUCCGCUUUGGGUUCGAGCUUAUCAACCUGAAACUCUUUCACAUAAGCAUCGCAGCCCCAAACCUUUAAGAAACGACAACUUAGGUUUCUCCAAACGGUGUCGUCUCAACGGAAUUAUGUGGUACCCUAUUAAAAUGAGUGCGGUUGUCUCUAAUGCCUAACCCAUGAACGAUAGUGGUAAUUCGAUAAGAGACAUCAUGGUACGCACCAUAUCCAAUAGGGUGCAACUAUGAUGUUCGGACACACCAUCACACUAUGGUGUUCUAGGCGGUAUUAAUUGUGAAACAAUUUCCACAAUGUCUUAAUUGUGUGCCAAACUCGUAACUCAGAUACUCAUCUCUAUGAUCAUAUCAUAGACAUUUUAUCCUCUUGUCACAAUGAUCUUCAACUUCACUCUGAAAUUACUUGAACCAUUCAAUAAUUCAGACUUGUGUUUCAUCAAGUAAAUAUACUCAACAUUUACUUGAAUCAUCUGUGAAGUAAGAACAUAACGAUAUUCACUGCAUGCCUCAGCACUCAUUGGACUGCACACAUCAAAAUGUGUUACUUCCAACAAGUUGCUAUCUUGUUCCACCUUACUGAAAACGAGGCUUCUCAGUCAUCUUGCCCAUGUGGUAUGAUAUGCAUAUCUCAAGUGAUUCAAAAUCAAGUGAGUCCAAACGAUCCAUCUGCAUGGAGUUUCUUCAUGCGUAUACACCAAUAGACAUGGUUCGCAUGUCUCAAACUUUUCAAAAACGAGUGAGUCCAAAGAUCCAUCAACCUGGAGCUUCUUCAUGCGUUUUUAUACCAAUAUGACUUACAUGGCAGUGCCACAAGUAAGUGGUACUAUCAUUACUAUCUUAUAUCUUUUGGCAUGAAAAUGUGUAUCACUACGAUCGAGAUUCAAUAAACCAUUCUUUCAGGUGCAAGACCAUUGAAGGUAUUAUUCAAAUAAAUAGAGUAACCAUUAUUCUCCUUAUAUGAAUAACCGUAUUGCGAUAGACAUAAUCCAAUCAUGUCUAUGCUCAACGCAAACACCAAAUGACAAUUAUUCAGGUUUAAUACUAAUCUUGAUGGUAGAGGGAGCGUGCGACGUUUGAUCACAUCAAACUUGGAAACACUUCCAACACAUAUCGUCAGCUCACCUUUAGCUAGUCUCCGUUUAUUCCGUAGCUCUUUUAUUUCGAGUUACUAACACUUAGCAACCGAACCGGUAUCUUAAUACCCUGGUGCUACUAGGAGUACUAGUAAAAUACACAUUAACAUAAUGUAUAUCCAAUAUACUUCUAUCGACCUUGCCAGCCUUAUCAUCUACCAAGUAUCUAGGGUAAUUCUGCUCCAGUGGUUGUUCCCCUUAUUACAGAAGCACUUAGUCUCGGGUUUGGGUUCAACCUUGGGUUUCUUCACUAGAGCAGCAACUGAUUUGCCGUUUCAUGAAGUAUCCCUUCUUGCCCUUGCCCUUCUUGAAACUAGUGGUUUCACCAACCAUCAACAAUUGAUCCUCCUUCUUGAUUUCCACUUUCGCAGUGUCAAACAUCGCGAAUACCUCAAGGAUCAUCAUAUCUAUCCCUGAUAUGUUAUAGUUCAUCACGAAGCUCUAGCAGCUUGGUGGCAAUGACUUUGGAGAAACAUCACUAUCUCAUCUGGAAGAUCAAAUCCCACUCGAUUCAAGUGAUUGUUGCACUCAGGCAAUCUGAGCACAAGCUCAACGAUUGAGCUUUUCUCCCUUAGUUUGCAGGCUAAGAAGAUCGUCGGAGGUCUUAUACCUAUUGACGUGGGCACGAGCCUGAAAUCCCAAUUUCAGCCCUCGAAACAUCUUAUAUGUUCCGCGACGUUUUGAAAAAGUCUUUGGUGCCUCUACUCUAAACCAUUUAACUGAACUAUCACGUAGUUAUCAAAACGUGUAUGUUCGAUGUUCGCAACAUCCACAGACGACGUUUGGGGUUCUGCACACUGAGCGGUGCAUUAAGGACAUAAGCUUUCUACUGAUCGCAUAAUCACCACUAUCAACUUUCAAUUAUAUUUUCUCUAGGAACAUAUCUAAAACAGUAGAACUAAAGCGCGAGCUAUGACAUAAUUUGCAAAGGGUCUUUUGACUAUGUUCAGGAUAAUUAAGUUCAUCUUAUGAACUCCCACUCAGAUAGACAUCCCUCUAGUCAUCUAAGUGAUUACAUGAUCCGAGUCAACUAGGCCGUGUCCGAUCAUCACGUGAGACGGACUAGUCAUCAUCGGUGAACAUCUUCAUGUUGAUCGUAUCUACUAUACGACUCAUGCUCGACCUUUCGGUCUCCGUGUUCCGAGGCCAUGUCUGUACAUGCUAGGCUCGUCAAGUUAAACCUAAGUGUAUUGCAUGUGUAAAUCUGUCUUACACCCGUUGUAUGUGAACGUAAGGAUCUAUCACACCCGAUCAUCACGUGGUGCUUCGAAGCGACGAACUGUAGCAACGGUGCAUAGUUAGGGGAGAACACUUCUUGAAAUUGUUGUAAGGGAUCAUCUUAUUUACUACCGUCGUUCUAAGUAAACAAGAUGCAUAAACAUGAUAAACAUCACAUGCAAUCAAAUAGUGACAUGAUACGGCCAAUAUCAUUUUGCUCCUUUUGAUCUCCAUCUUCGGGGCUCCAUGAUCAUCAUCGUCACCGGCAUGACACCAUGAUCUCCAUCAUCAUGAUCUCCAUCAUUGUGUCUUCAUGAAGUUGUCUCGCCAACUAUUACUUCUACUACUAUGGCUACCGGUUAGCAAUAAAGUAAAGUAAUUACAUGGCGUUGUUUAAUGACACGCAGGUCAUACAAUAAAUAAAGACAACUCCUAUGGCUCCUGCCGGUUGUCAUACUCAUCGACAUGCAAGUCGUGAUUCCUAUUAUAAGAACAUGAUCAAUCUCAUACAUCACAUAUAUUCAUUCAUCACAUUCUUCUUGGCCAUAUCACAUCACAUAGCAUACCCUGCAAAAACAAGUUAGACGUCCUCUAAUUGUUGUUUGCAUAUUUUACGUGGCUGCUAUGGGUUUCUAGCAAGAACGUUUCUUACCUACGCAAAAACCACAACGUGAUAUGUCAAUUGCUAUUUACCCUUCAUAAGGACCCUUUUCAUCGAAUCCGUUCUGACUAAAGUGGGAGAGACUGGCACCCGCUAGCCACCUUAUGCACCAAGUGCAUGUCAGUCGGUGGAACCUGUCUCACGUAAGAGUACGCGUAAGGUCGGUCCGGGCCGCUUCAUCCCACAAUACCAUCGAAACAAGAUUGGACUAGUAACGGUAAGCAUAUUGAACAACAUCAACGCCCACAACUACUUUGUGUUCUACUCGUGCAAAGAAUCUAUGCAAUAGACCUAGCUCAUGAUGCCACUGUUGGGGAACGUAGCAGAAAUUCAAAAUUUUCCUACGUGUCACCAAGAUCUAUCUAUGGAGAAACCAGCAAUGAGGGGAAGGAGGGUGCAUCUACAUACCCUUGUAGAUCGCUAAGCGGAAGCGUUCAAGAGAACGGGGUUGAAGGAGUCGUACUCGUCGUGAUCCAAAUCACCGGAGAUCCUAGUGCCGAACGGACGGCACCUCCGCGUUCAACACACGUACAGCCCGGUGACGUCUCCCACGCCUUGAUCCAGCAAGGAGAGAGGGAGAGGUUGAGGAAGACUCCAUCCAGCAGCAGCACGACGGCGUGGUGGUGAUGGAGGAGCGUGGCAAUCCUGCAGGGCUUCGCCAAGCACCUGCGGGAGAGGAGGAGGUGUCACGGGAGGGAGGGAGGCGCCAGGGCUUCAGGUAUGGCUGCCCUCCCUCCCCUCCACUAUAUAUAGGGGCAAGGGAGAGGGGGGAGGCGCAGCCUUGCCCCUUCCUCCAAGGAAGGGGUGCGGCCAAGAGGGGGGAGGAGUCCAUCCUCCCCAAGGCACCUCGGAGGUGCCUUCCCCCUUGAGGACUCUUCCCUCCCCAAGUUUUCUUGGCGCAUGGGCCUCUUGGGGCUGGUGCCCUUGGCCCAUAUAGGCCAAGGCGCACCCCCUACAGCCCAUGUGCCCCCCCGGGGCAGGUGGACCCCCCGGUGGACCCCCGGACCCCUUUCGGCACUCCCGGUACAAUACCGAUAAAGUGUGAAACUUUUCCGGCGACCAAAAUAAGACUUCCCAUAUAUAAAUCUUUACCUCCCGACCAUUCUAGAACUCCUCGUGAUGUCCGGGAUCUCAUCCGGGACUCCGAACAACAUUAGGUAACCACAUACAAACUUCCUUUAUAACCCUAGCGUCAUCGAACCUUAAGUGUGUAGACCCUACGGGUUCGGGAGACAUGUAGACAUGACCGAGACGUUCUCCGGUCAAUAACCAGCAGCGGGAUCUGGAUAUCCAUGUUGGCUCCCACAUGUUCCACGAUGAUCUCAUUGGAUGAACCACGAUGUCAAGGACUCAAUCAAUCCCGUAUACAAUUCCCUUUGUCUAACGAUAUUGUACUUGCCCGAGAUUCGAUCGUCGGUAUACCGAUACCUUGUUCAAUCUCGUUACUGGCAAGUCUCUUUACUCGUUCCGUAACACAUCAUCCCGUGAUCAACCCCUUGGUCACAUUGUGCACAUUAUGAUGAUGUCCUACCGAGUGGGCCCAGAGAUACCUCUCCGUUUACACGGAGUGACAAAUCCCAGUCUCGAUUUGUGCCAACCCAACAGACACUUUCGGAGAUACCUGUAGUGCACCUUUAUAGUCACCCAGUUACGUUGUGACGUUUGGUACACCUAAAACAUUCCUACGGUAUUCGGGAGUUGCACAAUCUCAUGGUCUAAGGAAAAGAUACUUGACAUUAGAAAAGCUUUAGCAUACGAACUACACGAUCUUUGUGCUAGGCUUAGGAUUGGGUCUUGUCCAUCACAUCAUUCUCCUAAUGAUGUGAUCCUGUUAUCAACGACAUCCAAUGUCCAUAGCCAGGAAACCAUGACUAUCUGUUGAUCACAACGAGCUAGUCAACUAGAGGCUCACUAGGGACAUAUUGUGGUCUAUGUAUUCACACGUGUAUUACGAUUUCCGGAUAAUACAGUUACAGCAUGAAUAAAAGACUAUUAUCAUGAACAAAGAAAUAUAAUAAUAACACUUUUAUUAUUGCCUCUAGGGCAUAUUUCCAACAAAUAUACAAUGAUGUCGUCGAGGUUACCGUCCUUGGAGAUGAUGAGAGGCGGUGUUCUUGAUGUAGAUACCAAGAUGAUGGAGACUCGUCCCUAAGUAGCCGAAACACCUUAGGAAACGGAAAAACUGCGAACUCAAAAUCUUAAAUGACAAAUGUCAAAUGGUGGUAGCGGAAAGCGGUGGUGGUUUUGCACUAGGCAAAUGCGGAAGUGGAAUGAUGGGCUAUACACGAGUCGGAGUUGAAGUUGCCGUUCCUAAGUAGCCGAAACACCUUAGGAGACACAAGCCACAACACAAACAAAAUUGGGUUAAGUUGGGGUUGUCGGAAGUGUAUGGUGGGAAGGUUAUGUGGAAGUGGUGGUGGUGGUGGUUGAUGAAGAAGCAACCGUCCCUAAGUAGCCGAAACACCUUAGGAGACUCAAGUCACUACUCAAACAACCUCAAAUGCUAUGGGGAACAAAAUGGGGUAGGUUGCGGAAGUCGGUGGUGGUAAUGCGGAUGAUAUGGUGGAGGGCCUAGGCAAACUUGCCAAAUUUCAGAAAAUUUGAUGGAGUCAAAUGAUGUUGGCAGUAUUUUUGUGGGAUGGGGGAUGUCAAGAGCUUCAAAACGAGCUAAAGAACGUCAAAAUCGGACUCCGGAUGAAUUAGUUAUGACCGAAACAAGAUUUCAGCCGAGUCAGUGUCAGGGUUACCCGGACAUCCGGGAGUAGGUCCGGAUGAUCCGGGUUCGUCAACCGGAUUUCUGUCGUGUGGGGCGUCUGGACAUCCGGGAGAUGGUCCAGCUGAUCCAGGUGGAUCCGGAUGAUCCGGGAGCUCUUUCGGAUGAUCCGGCAGGUCAAACUGCUCGGCUUUUGCUCGUGGAGACGAAUUUUUGGGCGGAAUUUGGGGAUUUUGGGAUCAAAAUUGGCGAGAUUUCGUGGAUGGAAGGUGGGGAAACUUGGGGAAAUGCUAGAUCCACUUGAAACCAAGCAAAUCCACGGAUCAAAAUCAACAAAACAUCAUCAAACCAACAAAUCACAAAAAAUCUUGGGGCUAUUUUUGGUGGGGAUUUUCGGAUUUAGGACGAAAUCAACAAAAUCAAGCUAGAAAUCACGGGGUAGGGGCUCCAAAAACGUGAUCAACGUGGCUCAUGAUACCAUAUGAUGUAGGGUGGAACCCUAUAGUGUUGAUCUUUCACGUUUGGAGUGGAUCCUACGGGGGGAAUCACGAAGAACACGCGGAAGCACAAGGGGAAACACGGGGAAAACGAGAGAGAAUCACUCAACCAACAAGGAAUCGAUCACACAAGUGCUAGAUCACCACACACAUAAGAGAUCCACAAGAUACAAAGUCAACUAAGGUAAGGAUACAAAGGAACCGUUCAUCUUCAAGAGGAGGCCUUGAUGUUCUUCCCUAGAUAGGGGUCUUGAAUCCGCUGGGGGAUCUUCUCCGAAGAGGUCCUGAGCUCCGAGGAGAAGUAACCGAGUGGAUGAGCAAAGGCUCUCACACAAAUAUGAGCUAAUCCAAUGCUAACCCUCAAAAUGGGGAGAGGGAGGUCUAUUUAUAGUGCUAAGCCACGAAGGGGUAAGUGAGGGGCGAAGGGGUACACGGGCCUCGGCCCAAGUCAUGCGCACAGGCAAGGCCGGAUGAUCCGGACGGGGCCCCGGAUGAUCCGGGCGUCGGGGUCCGGAUGAUCCGGACGGAGUCCCGGAUGAUCCGGCUUCGGCAGAAGCCUUUGGGUGUCUUCGGCUCAGUUACCCGGACGAUCCGGACGGAGUCCCGGAUGAUCCGGCUGGGCCCGGAUGAUCCGGACGGCGGUCCGGAUGUCUGGCCUAGCUCCAGCAGCCGCUCCGUCUUCUUCUUCCUUCUCCUCUUCCAUGCUUGGCCUUGAUCCUUGGAUUCUCCAUGGUCAUCUUGGUUGUACCUGAGUGUAUGCAAGGUCCAUGCAUGAGGUAGUAGCCGUGUCUCAUAUGCGGAAAGUGACGGUUCGAAGAGGAGUGAGUUCACCUUGUGUCGAAUGGCGCAUAGUCGAGGUCUCAUCUUAUGUAUCCUUGGGGCUUGGAGAGUAGUCGGAGUGUACGUGGGGAUGAACGUGGGAUGCUCCGCAUCACAAAGCCUCCUGAACACUGGAGAUCGUUGAAGCACGUUGAUAUCGUUGUGAGAACCGGGCAUUCCAAAGAAAGCAUGCCAAAUCCAUAAGUCAUGUGAUACCACCGCUUGUAGUAUGAUGGUGGCCUCUCUGGUGUGACCUUGAUACAUUCCCCGCAGACCUUUGGGGCAGUUUUUCCAUUGCCAAUGCAUACAAUCAAUUGAUCCGAGCAUUCCUGGAAACCCCCUUGCCUCUCCAAUAGCCAACAACUUCUCACUGUCCUACGCAUUUGGUUCUCUGAGAUACUUCGGUCCAAACACCUCAACCAUAGCGCGAGCAAAUUUCACAGUAGUCUUGAGGCACGUGCUCUCCCCCAUCCUGACCAUCUCACCAACGACUUCUACAGUAGUACCAAGUGCAAGCAUCCUCAGAGCAGCCGUGCACUUUUGCUUGGCCGAGAAAGAGAGUUGGCUGCAGCAAUCCCUUCUCAGAUUGAAGUAGUCGUCGUGUGCCUCCACUCCCUCCAUAAUGCGCAAAAAUAAUGAUUUUCGCAUGCGAAAACGGCGACGAAACCAUGGAUCUUCCGAAAAAGCAGGUGUGGGAGCAAAGUAGUCAUUGUGCAAUAGCUUUGCUCCAGACACUCUGUCCCGGUUGAUCACUCUUCUUCCUUUGAUUGAGCCCUUAAAGUUGAGAAUAUGCUCCACUUGUCGGUCCAUUUCCUCUUGCAUGCUCAUGAGCAUGAUCAUGUCCACUUCUUCGUCCUUAUUCGACGAAUCGAAGAACUCAUCUUGAAUCAUUUGGUCAAGCUCCGUCGGGCCAUACUCCUCGUCCGACGAAGCAUUGGAAUCCAUAAUGUACCUAACAAAACCACAAUAAUUCCGGUCGGUCAAUGUGUCGAACACAUCAAGUGCAAGGCGGAGCCGGAGAGUUGCCGGACAUACCAUGGUGGCGUCCGGGCCGGCGACAACGUCCCUCGCGGCGAGGACUGGAGCGCUCUUCCGGAGUUGGCGGCGGAGAGCCUGGGAAAGGCUGCGGAGCGGGCGUGGCGGCGGAGCUGCGAGCGAGACGGCGCAGAGGAGGAAGAACGAGGAGAGAGCAAAUGGAUCCGGUAACUCGGGAGGGAGGAGGGAUUUGAUGCAAUUUAGGGUGGGAUCGGGUUGUCGAAUCCGACGUGACGGGCGUGCCCGGGCUCUCCAUAUCCGCCCCAUAUUUGAGCUGGAUAUGGGAGUGCGGGUCAGCCCGAACGUUUGAGGGCCGUUCGAGAGGUUCAUCUGGGUCAAAAUAUCAUGAUCGAGUCUGCCGAGCGUUUGAGACGGGUUGAGGGUUCCACCUGUUGGUGCACAGCGGAAGAACAGUCGUUAGUUUUCUCUGCAGUGACGAAGGAAACACCGAAACAGAACACAGAAAUCCCAAUCCCCGCCGCCAAAGGCUCCAACCACGAUGGUGCCAGGAAUGGCGCCCAAGCCGGCGGCGCCGAUGCCCGCGCAGCCGAAGAAGCCUCAGCACAUGCUCGUGCUCGGCACCGGCUUCGUCGGCCGCUACGUCUCGGAGCGCCUCCUGUCACAGGGAUGGUUAGUCCGCCGUCGCUCUCAGCCCCCUCCUCGCUCCGUUCUACCGCUUCUCCUUCUCUUUGACCGGCGUCGGCACAAAUUGAGACCACUCCGUCGCUGUAACUCCGGUUCCCCAACUCCCCUUAUCGAUGUCUCGAACUAGAUUGGGUUCUGCCGCUGCUGUAGCCAUCUCCUCCUCCCCCGAAUUCGGUCCUUGAUUUCUGUCUGGAUGAACGCAGGCGGGUGUCCGGGACGUGCACCAGUGCCGCCAAGAAGACGGAGCUCGAGUUGCUGGGCAUGACUGCUUCCGUCUUCGAUGCCACAACAAGCAAGUACGGCUUAUUUCCUCUGUUCUCGCCCUUCUUUCAAGCACCGUUCUCUGCCGCGGAGCACUUGCCAGAUAUAAAUAAUACAUGGAUAGUCUAGCUAAAAAUGGUUGUAGGCUGAAAAUCUUUGACCCACAAACGUUUCACUAGUGUUAUUAGUUGAAUUGCAUCUGAAAAGGUGAAUGAAGCUCUCGUUUGUUUUCUGUUGAACAUAAAACUUUGCUGAUGCAGGCCAAAAUAUUUGCUUUAAACUGCAGUGAAGUCAAUCUUUGGAACUAAUAGUACUACAUUUAUAUACACAAAUACUUCAGUCAUGGCAGAUUGUUUAAUCAUUAGGGGAAGAAGGCCACUCCAAAUUUUUGUGCUAGACUCCAAUAUAUUUUCUUGAAAUUUUAUUAUGACGAUAUAUGAUCCUUAUCUCUUGUUGUUCUACCUGUGUCCCCCUGGGCCCUCUUACUCCUGUGUGUGGGUGCCAGUGAAUUUUGCUUUCUCAUACAUGAAUCUUUAUGUCUACGGGCAAUGUCCUUUUCUGAUUACUUUUGGCUGUCAAUUCCAGCCUCACAGAUCUUCAUGCUUUGCAAGAUGCAACCCAUUUGCUCAUCUCCAUUCCUCCCAUCCCUGGGGUGGGUGAUCCUGUACGUUGCCAAUUAUCUGCUACUCAAUUCAGUAUGCUUCACUUGAAUGCGAUCCUGAUUUGACUUCAUGGUUAUCCCUUAUGCAGUUGCUUUCCUCACAUGCUGACCUGCAAACAACACUGACUAGUGGUAAUCUUCAAUGGUUAUGCUACCUAUCUUCAACAAGUAAGUUCAAACAAUGUGUGCACCUCUAAUAUGAAAUAGUAUGUUGGUUUGGGGUGAAAUUGAUUGACAGCAUUUCGGCAGUUUCCAUUUCACUAAAUUAUUUAACAUGUGGUAGUCAAAUGAACUGCAUUUAAGUGCAAUAGUUUUUCUUGAGGACCCUUACUUGGUUUACACACUGCAUUCAUGUCAAUGCACUAGAAUAGGAGAACAUCUCUAUUUCUUCACCCUUGUUAGGUACGUUAGCUCUUCCAGCUGGCUUAGAUAACUGCCUUAUAAUUCUUAUUAUUUCCCAGGUGUGUAUGGUGAUUGUGGUGGUGCAUGGGUUGAUGAGGAGUAAGAAACUGAAUGGUUUGUGUGUGUUUUUGCAAUACAUUUUUAAAAGUGCAGAAGAAACUGAUGUAUAUGCAGUCAUGUAGUGAAUCCAAAGAGCGAGUCUUCCAAGUUAAGAUAUACCGCUGAACAAGGAUGGUUGGAUCUUGUCGACGAGCUGGAUCUAUCGGCUUAUAUACUUCGUUUGGGUGGGAUAUAUGGGCCUGGAAGAAGGUUGAGAUAUGCUAAUACUUCAAUCCAUUUUACUAUUUUGAUUUCUUAUCAAAUAAUUAGUCAACUCUAGAAAUGCUUGACAAUUGAUAUGCUGAUUUAGACCAAUGUAUUUGCACCUAUGAAAUGAAAGCUUGUCAGCACUUUUUUCAUGACUGCUUUGGAUUUUAUCAUAGAAGCCAUCAAACAAUGUGAUAGAGAUGAAUGGUUGGAAGAUUUGUUCAAGGAGACUGUUUAUACGUCCUGAUACCGUGUCUCUGAAAGCGUCAGUAUGACGACUAUUCUUGUUUCGUAUUUGUGAUGAUCGCCAUUUGUUGUUGCAGUGCUUUGGACACCAUAGCUAAGAGAAAAUCUUCUUCCCGAAGACAGAAGUUGAGGGAGUCCAAACAGUACACGGCACGUAUCCAUGUGGCCGACAUCUAUCAGGCUAUCCUGGCUAGCAUGAGCAUCAAAUCUACAAGGUUUCUGUUUUCUCUUGCUUGCAUAAUUCCAUGGUUCUUUGCAAUUGUUGAGUCUUCACGCAAUUUUCACAGACUUCAUUACAGUUUACAUAUAGCAUAGCUCAAAUAUGAGAUUGCAACGCCAAAAGUCCUCUUCGUUUGUAUUUCUCUCUUGCUUUGUUCUACAAAAUAGCCAUAUCAGUGUGAUCUUUAAACAUCAUCACACAUACUCACCGUGUGUUCAACUUCAUAUUUCGGUCUUACCAUACAUGUUCUAGUCACGUUUUGUAAGCUUAUGUUUUCAGUAUAAUCGAGAAAAAUGACCGUGCAUACGAAGACAGAUAAUUGAUUUCCAACGUUUAACCAUUUGAAUGCCAGGAAGAUAUACAAUGUGGUGGAUGAUGACCCUGCCCCGAGAUCCGAGGUCUUUGCAUUUGCUCAGAGCUUGAUAGAGAAAAGAUACCCUGAUCUUGCAGCGGAUUCUGCAGGAUCAAACAGCCAGAACAGAAUUAUAGCUGCUGAAAAACGGGUAUCUAAUGGUCGGUUGAAACUGGAGCUUGGCGUUAGGCUUGCCCACCCAUCUUAUAGGUCAGGGCUGCAGAGUAUUCUUGAUUCCUGGCUCGAGGGAAAUCAGUGAUGUGUAGCCUGUGCAGCGAGUAGCAUUUCUUUUAAUCCUUGGUUUGGACACAAUGUGAACCUGUACACGAUACCGCACAUUGUACCAGAAACUGAAGUAAUUUACUAUGAUCCCAAGGAAUAUUUUGCCGAAUGUAGUAGUGAAAACUAAAAUAAAUGCAGUUGCAAGAUUAAUGUGCAUGUUCCAUAUUACCCAUUCAGUAAGUACUAGAUGUCCAUUGAAUCAGUAGAUGCCGGAGUAUGUUGGAGUACAAAGACGAAGCCUAAAGCAGGCAGCUGGCCAAAUCUGAAACCAGAAGCCAGAGAGGGAGCAAUUACUUUUAGGGAAAAUGAAAAUAACCUACAGCUAACUACUACUAGUAUAUUGGCCAACAGUACAUUUUAGUGAUGGAUUUGUAGGUUGGCGAGGUCCCUUGCAGCGCGUCUGGCCUCGCGGCGCUCCCUCCGCAUAAGGACCUCCUGGCGCCAGGCGUUAAUGCAGGGCAGCGAGCAGUGUUGCUCGUAAUGCCAGCCCGCCCAGUGGGCAUGACACUGCGCGCACGUGCCCGGCGCCCUCCUCAGCACCGGCAGCAGCAGCAGCUCGUCCUCCUCCUCGCCGACCGGGUCGCCGAGGUAGCCCUCCACGCGGCGGAACCACGGCUCGAAGCCCGUGCACCGGACGCAGUGCGCGCCUCCAUGCUCCUCGAUACGGAGAACGACGCCGGCGAGGCACGUGCCGUUGCUGUGGUGCGGGCAGGCGGCGGCGCAGAAGAUCUUCUUGCAGCCCGUGCAGUAGGAGUCUCUGGGGAGCGGCGUGUCGUAGUCCUCCGCGGCGAUGGCGCGGACGACCUCGUCGGGCAUCCACUGCGAGUCCCCGGGCUGGAACACCGGCCGGCCUGCGACGUCGACGGAGAUGGCGGUGUGAAACGGCCCACGGUGGUGAUGAGAGCCGCAGCAGUGGGAGCAGAAGGCGUGGAAGCAGUCCAGGCAGAAGCUGUCCCUCCGGCACGUCUGCGACAGUUCCUCGAACUCGAGCGGCGACGACAUCGUGUACCUAACAGCGAGGCAGGGGGGACGCGCGAUGUGGCGGGUAUAUGCAGAGACCAGGAGACGAUGGCAUAUACUACAGGACACCAAAGCAUAUAUAUAUAUAGCUUAUUUACGGGUCCGACUUCACCAAAGCAUAUAUAUUCCUAGCUAGGCUGCAACUAUCUUUUUUGCUUUGUUAGAGCAACUCCAACGGACAGCACAUCUGAACUGAACAACAGAGAGCGCCCCUGUUGAGAGUCGAGCGAGAGAAGCACGUCCCGCCCGAUCCCCAAUCUUCCCCGGCGGCGAUGCCGGCUGGAGGAGAGAAGGGAGAGGAGCACGGAGGAGCUAUGUAUAUAUUAAGUCUAAGUUGAGUCUUACCCCUGUGGCGUCUGGCGCUAUGCCGAGGUGGAGCGUACCGCCGCCGCGUUCGAGCAGCGGCCGGUGGUUAGCGGUGGCUGCACUCCUGGCUGCGCUGGUGUGCCAGUUGCUUGUCAGGAGUGGGUUGCCGGUGACUCCACGAAUAAGCUCGUUUGGUCCGCUGAUCUGGAGGAGGUCCUUAUUUUCCUCUGCUUCCAAGGUUACCAUGGCGGUGAAGGAGGAAGAGAGGAAAGAUGGAGAUCCAGUUCGGGUUCGAGCUCAUCACCGACGGAGAUCUUGGAUGGCCUAUGGCUCCCGCUGUUGCGGUCGAUGCCGGCCGUCGCCGCCGAAUCCUCUAACCGAAUGGCGGUCUUUCUUCUUCCUCCCGGCCAAGAGCCAGAUGGGAGGCAAUGCAGCUUCAUCCUGGAGUUCGUGGCGUGGUGCCAUGGAGGGCUCGCCGCACCAAGUGGUGCCGUCCCCGGUGAAGACGAGUCAAGUUUCAGGCUGGAGUUGCCAGGUACCCGAUUGCUUUUUUCAUCAAUUUUCUGGGGUCCUCUUUGUAAUAGUCAGGGACCGGUUAGUGUUUUCCUUUUUCGUUCAGGGUCCUGAUGUAAAAUCGCCGUGUACUGCUCCUUUCUAAUCAAUGCAGCUUCGGGGUCCUUCCGGGCCCUUAGUUUGUUCAAAAAAAAGCAACUCCAACGGGCCAAUCCAAACGGACGGCGCAUUUGUCCGACUUUUGUCCGUUUGGGUCGGCCGCCCCCACCGGCGUCCGCCCAGUUUUGCAUUUGGGUCGGCAGUGCGCCCAACGCGCCGAUCCAUUUCAUGUCCGCAUUCAACUAUAAAAAAAGGCCCGCGGGCGAUCAUGCCGGCACCAUGCCAGCGCCGGCAUACAAUGCCGGCUUCAGAAAAUAUCACCAUAGGUUCAUGCUGGCGCACUCGCCAGCCGGCCGGCACUCAUGCCGGCACACAAAAAGGGCGGGGCUUGAGUUCGACCACGCCAUCGCGGCUCCCGUGGUCAUGCCGGCACACCUGCCGGCAUACAAAAAAGAUGGCGCUCGCCGCCAUACAUCACUCGUCGUCGAACUUGAGCAUGUCGGCCUGCAUCUUCUCGAACCAUGGCCUCUUGCUUGGCGACACUGUAACGCCUCGGAUACAACUUUCCAUAUUCGUAACUCCAACUCUUGCCUUUUUCGGAGAUGCGAUAUGAUAUUUUCCUUCGUGGUUGGGUUAUUGUCGUUUGUUUUGCAUUUUGUUCAUGCCAUGCAUCUCAUCUCAUAGCAUCAUGCGCAUUGCAUCUGCAUGUUUUCAUAAAACUCGUAGCCGUUCACAGUUGCCCUUUCUCUCUUUGCCUCCGUUGUUAUUUUGUCAGGUCCUUGUCCUCGUUGACCUCUCUCAGACCCCCUCUUGCGCGCGUCCGAAAACUCCCCCGAAGUCGAACCUGGUUGUCGUGACCGUUGGGUUCGGAUCAUCCCCCAACAUCUAUAAAACAUCUCCGUUUUCUUAUUUGGACCCCCCUAGCCUAUUUUUCUCGACCGCCCGAUUUCGCUCGGACGUACCGGGUUAACCCUGCCCUAAUCCUCCUUGCUAUAUAAAUAUGACCCAACCCUAAAUUUGAGGAGAGUUGUCCCAUCGGUCCCUCACCCACCGCCGCCGCUCUCCCGCAUCCACCUUGGGAUCCCUCCCGAUCCAGUUUCCACCCGAGACCAAUCGCAGCCUCCAUCUUCUCCUCGUUCUCCCCACCAGCCCAACCGGAGCGCUCGAACAAGUGUCCUCCUUCCUCGGGAUCGACCCAGAUCCCACCUGGCCAAAUCCCCUCUCGCUCCCUCGUCCUCGCCCGCGUCCGAGCAAGAGGAGCUCGCUGCUCAAGCUCGAGCACGCACCCAGGACCCAUGGCGCCACUCCCGUGCGCGCCUCCUCCUCCCGCUGCUCCCUGCGUCCCUUUUCGCGCUGUGCAACGCCCGAGGAGAGCCGAGCUCCUCCCGAUCCAGAGCUUCGCCGUCUUCUUCGCGACCCUCGCCGCCUCGUCUCACCGCCGACGAUCACCAGCACCUCCAGGUCACGCCGCCGGGCCUCCCUCGCGCCCUCUCUUCCUUUCCCUCUCCCUGUCUCACCUCUCUCUGUCUCUCUUCGUCAGGGACAGGAACGAGGCAAGCCCGCGCGUCCUCCGCCGUGGAUCCAGGGCCUUGAUUCGUUCCCGGCCUCGCCUCUUCUCGCCGGAGUCCCAACCUCGCCGGAUCCAGCCGUCUCCGUCGUCCGCUAGCCUCCUAUCUGUCUCGAGCGCCAAGUCCCGCUCCCUGCUUCCUCUGAAGUCGCUGCACCAAGCCCCGCCUCCUGCGUCCCUGCCUCGAGCACCAGUGCUCCAAGCCCGGCCCUUCUGUAGCUCGCCGGUGACCACAUCUAGCCACCCGCGCCCGUGGUUCCCUCCUUUUUCUUCCCGUUUCUUCUCCCUGAAUCUCUUCUCUGAAUUCACUCGUCUCUUUGAAUUUCUUCACAGGAGUUGAGCCGCUGUCGUCCUGUUCGACUCCCUCCAUCAGGAACCAUCUCCCCUCGUCAGAUCCGGUAGAUCCUCGCCGCCGUCCGCCACCUGUAGGCCCCAUCUCGCCGCACCUCCCUCCGUUCCUUGAACCCACGAUGCUAAAGUCCAUCGCGCCCAGCCGCCGGCGCUUGAACCUGCUUCUUCCUCUGUUCUUCAGUAACGAGAGCAGCAGCAGUUCGCUUGUCCCACGUGUUGACCGCGCCAUGCCAGCGCCUGGGCCGCGUCCCGUGAGCCGACCCAGCAGCUGCAUCCUGUCGGCCUGCUGCUACCUCUCCACAGUUCUGGGCUGAGGCCCAUGGUGAGCAGCACCCCCCAGCCCCUUCUCUGUGUUCAGCCCAGCAGUGCUCCAGAUUCGGCCCGUGGAUGUUUUUUUUCCCGUUCUGCGAUUUAGCGAUUUAUCCAGAGAGUGCAGUUUUACACAUUACCUCUCAUGUUCAUGCAUUUAAUAUCUCACAAACCGUGCAUCGGAUUAAAAUAUUUUAAAUAGGGAAAAUGCUUAGAAUUUCCUCUAGUUUCACAUAAUGCCAUUUUCAUCCAUGUUUAAAAUGUUUAAAAUGCUGUUUGUUUAAAUUUGUUCAAAUGCCAUGUUAAAAUGAUUUAUUUCAUAACUAAUUAACCGUAGCUCCGAAUUUAAUAAACUUUAUAUGUAUUUGGGGUGGAAAAAUGCAUAGAAUAACAUGGUCAACUUUAUUUUCCUGUUUAACAACUUUAAAAUAUGUUUUAGGGCAGAACAGUAGCAAAUUCAUAAAUUGCAUAUGAGGAUUUUCCGGAAAUGUUGUUUGUUGUUUCGGCCUCAUUCAAACUUGCCUAAAUAGUUAGUUUACUUUUGUUACACCCCUUGCCAUGUUUAACAACAUUUAACAUUGUUGUGAACCUAAACGAGAGCGAACUAAAUAACUCAGAUGUGGUGUUUCGCCAAUAUGCAACUCGUUGCAUAUUGAGCUCCACUUAAUUUGUAGGGUUGUUUGUUGCACUUUGUCAUGCCAUGCCUCAUUAAACCGGACAUGCAUCAUACUUGUUUGUGCAUCAUGCCAUGUUUAUGCUUGUGCAUUUACCAUGUUGUUUGUUUCUUUCCGGUGUUGCUUCUUAGUUCCGGUAAUGUUGCGAUUGUGAGGAUUCGUUCGACUGCUCCCGUUCGUCUUCUUCAUGGACUCGUUCUUCUUCCUAGCGGGAUCUCAGGCAAGAUGACCGCUACCCUGGAUCUCACUACUAUCAUUGCUAUGCUAGUUGCUUCAUUCUAUCGCUAUGCUGCGCCACCUAUCACUUGCUCUUCAAUCCUCCCAAAUUGCCAUGAACCUCUAACCUUUGACACCCUUCCUAGCAAACCGUUGUUUGGCUAUGUUACCGCUUUGCUCAGCCCCUCUUAUAGCGUUGCUAGUUGCAGGUGAAGUUGAAGAUUGCUCCAUGGUAGACAGGGUUAUGUUGGGAUAUCACAAUAUCUCUUAUUUAAUUAAUGCAUCUAUAUAUAUUGGUAAAGGGUGGAAGGCUCAGCCUUAUGCCUGGUGUUUUGUUCCACUCUUGCCGCCCUAGUUUCCGUCACACCGGUGUUAUGUUCCCGGAUUUUGCGUUCCUUACGCGGUCGGGUGAUUUAUGGGACCCCCUUGAUAGUUCGCUUUGAAUAAAACUCCUCCAGCAAGGCCCAACCUUGGUUUUACCAUUUGCCUCACCACCACCUAUACCUUUCCCUUGGGUCGGCCAAUCCGAGGGUCAUCUUUAUUUUAGCCCCCCGGGCCAGUGCUUCUCUAAGUGCUGGUCUGAACCGGGCAGACUGCGGGGCCCCUUCAGGGCAACUCGAGGUUUGGUUUUACUCGUAGGCUGACCUAUCCAGUGUUGCCCUGAGAACGAGAUAUGUGCAGCUCCUAUCGGGAUUGUCGGUGCAUCGGGCGGCUUUGCUGGUCUUGUUUUACCAUUAUCGAAAUGUCUUGUAAACCGGGAUUCCGAGACUGAUCGGGUCUUCCUGGGAGAAGGUAUAUCCUUCGUUGAUCGCGAGAGCUUAUCAUGGGCUAAGUUGGGACACCCCUGCAGGGUAUAAACUUUCGAGAGCCGUGCCUGUGGUUAUGUGGCAGAUGGGAAUUUGUUAAUGUCCGGUUGUAGAUAAUUUGACACCUGAUCCGAAUUAAAACGCAUCAACCGCGUGUGUAGCCGUGAUGAUCUCUUCUCGGCGGAGUCUGGGAAGUGAACAUGGUUUCUGUGUUAUGAUUGACGUAAGUAGGAGCUCAGGAUCACCUCUUGAUCAUUACUAGUUGACGACCGUUCCUUUGUUUCUCUUCUCGCUCUCAUUUGCGUAUGUUAGCCACCAUAUAUGGUUAGUCGCUGCUGCAACCUCACCACUUUACCCCUUCCUUUCCCUUUAAGCUUUGCUAGUCUUGAUACCCAUGGUAAUGGGAUUGCUGAGUCCUCGUGGCUCACAGAUUACUACAACAACAGUUGCAGGUAUAGGAUUAUGCAUUGAUCUUGACGCGAGAGCGAUGUUGCUUGUUUUGGAGUUCUUCUUCUGCUUCUUCUUCGAUCAGGGGAUAGGUUCCAGGUCGGCAGCCUGGGCUAGCAGGGUGGAUGUCGUUUGAGUUUCUGUUUGUGUUUCAUCCGUAGUCGGAUGGUUGCUCUUAUGUAUGAUGUAUUGAUGUAUUCUUGUGGCAUUGUAUGCCUUAUGUAUGUAUCCCCAUCUAUUAUGUAAUGUUGAUGUAAUGAUAUCCACCUUGCAAAAGCGUCUUCAAGAUGCGCUUCUAUCCUUGGUGGGACCUUCGAGUUCCUUUAGGAUAGGGUCGCAUCUUGGGCGUGACAAGUUGGUAUCAGAGCCUCGACCGACCCUAGGAGCCCCCUUGAUUGAUCGUGUAGUUUGGCCAUUGUUGAGUCUAGAACAAAACUGUUUUCUGAGUCUAGUUAUAUCGGAGAGUAGGAAUUCUUUUACUCCUCAGCCCCUUCGUCGCUCUGGUGAGGAAUCUUGAUGUAGGUGUUUUAAAUUACUUCUCUUCCCUUUAAAAUUUUCUUUAGGAUCACGCAAUUGGUUUUUUGAUCGUUGUUCCUCAGCUCUCUGCAUCCAGUGCAUUUCUUGUCAAGGUGAUUCGACCCUCUCCGUUUUCGCAAGUUCAAUCCUCAGUUGUUUUGUUUUUCCCACCCGCCCUCCCUUCUUCUUCUCGAAUCCGGAGUUCGUAUUUGAGUAUCCAUCCUACUCGUGCGAAGUCUUUGCUUUCUUUCCUCAAUGAUUUCAAUCGGUGUUUUUUCUUCAAGAUAUUCACUACCCUUCCAGUUGCCUUUGUUUUUUUUCCCGCCCUCCCACCCUCUUCUUGCCGGAGUCUGAGUCUGUUUCGACUAUCUAUUUCAUUCGUGUGGAACCCUUCAGUCUUUCGUCAAUUAUUUCAACCGGUGAAUUCUCGUCUCAUUCGUCAUUCUUCAUCUCUUUUAUUCUCUGGUGGAUUCAAUUCAAGUUUUUUCGGGUUGAUCAUAUUCUUUUCCUCGGCUCAAGUGUUUUCCCUGCUCGUUCGCCUCUCGCCAUUUUAUCCUUCCGGAGUGCUCAGGACAUCUCAGGAGAUUCGUCUGCGUUCCAAGUAAUUCGAGAUUGUCACCUCAUUCAAAUAUUUCAGUUGUUCCGGUGCAUCAUCUAUCUGUUCAACAACCCUUUCCAACGGUGUUUUCUUUUAGUGGGCCCUAACCCACAGGUCUUUUCCCAGGAUCUUACCUGACUCUCCUAAUUCCCUCGGAGUUAUUUUCAAUUCUUUUCAAGUGUGAUGUAAGAAUGGAUCACAUCAGUCACAUGCCUUCUCCAAGAUCUCGUUCAAAUUCUUUUCAUUGUUAGCUCAACCUCUUCGCUUUUCAUUCUCCCGGAGUAUCUCAGUAAUUUUGGUGGUUUCUCGUCAUCAUUUGAAGAUAGAAGAAGAGUUUUUCCUCCAAAUCUUACCCGUUCUCCCGAAGAUUCAUGGUUCUAGCUUCAUUUUAUCCUCUCAAAUUAUUCCGUUUGUCAGAUAUUCUUUUCAUCCAUCUGAAGUAUGUCAGGAGUUGUUUUUCCAUUUCUCUUCACCGGAGGCCAUCAUUCUAGUUAUCGUUCUCUAUUUAUCUCGGUACUUCGUUCAAGUGUUCUUUAAUCAGCUCAUGAUCUCUUCGUUCUUUUGCAUCUAAAUCCCCUCUAGCUUAUUUAUUCUUCUAAUUCUUCCCGAUGAUUCAUUCACGUUCAUCAGUUAUUUCCGAAUUCUUACGGUGGUUCAUUCAAGAUUCUUUUCCUUCAUUAUCAUAUUAAUUCAGUCGUUCUUUUCAAUCCUACCGGUGGUUCAUGAAGACCUUCUCAAGUUUGCGAUAUGUCACUUCUCAAUCCUUUUCAAGAAGAAUAAGUAGUAUGCAAAAUCCAUUGCUUGUCAUCAAUUUAAUUUGAUGAAGGAUAAGCAUACAAUAAAUCUUAUUCUUAUUUCCUCAAGUGAGUAAUCCCUUCCUUCGGAGUUUGUUCUUGAUGAAUAAAUUCUAGUUCCAAGUCUUUUCAUCUUUUCUUUUCUGGAGUUCAAAUUUCCUCGGCCAUCUCGUCGGAACCUCCAUCUAAAUCACCGCAAGCUUUAAUCUCAUUCCUUUCAUCAUUCAUUCCUAUCUCCAUCCUUUUGUCACCGGAGUUCUUCAUGGUGGUUCUUCAUGAUUUAAUUCAUUUGUCAAGAGUUCAUCAAGAUUCUUAUCGAAGGAGCUCAAGUAUCCUUCUUCUUGCAUCUCAAAGUGCAAUUAAUUCUCGGUAUUAUUUUGAAGUGGAGUUGUGCAUUUCUUCGUUCCUCUCAGCUAUUCAAUCUUUUCUGCUUGUGGUUGGUUAUCACCUCAUAAUUUUGAGAUGUCAUCCAUAAGUCCACAACAACCUUUAUUCUUUUUGUUGUUGAAUUUUCUCAACAACUCCAUUCAAUCUUUUCUUCUAAGAUGCUUUCAAUUUCAUUUGUGGCACAAGUUGACAUUUUAUUCUCCGUUAUUUUCAUUCAACUCUUUUAAUUCUUUCCGGAGGUUUUGUGUCAUGUCUUCAUCAGGUAUCAUUCCAUCCUCUCAAGUUCUUGUUCUAAUCCUUUCAUGUUCAGCCGGAGUGCUGCCUAAAUCCUUUCAGUCUUAUUCGUUUCUAACUCGUUCUAACAGGAGUUGUUUCAUAGUCUAUCUGAAUUCGUGAGCUUUCGAUUCGUCAUCCUCGUCGUUCCUCUCUUCUUCUCGAGUGCUCUCAAUUCUUUGCUUCUUCUCUUGAGUUCUUGCUUCACCUCUUCCCUUUUCCCUUCCGUCUCGGUCCUAAGAUCUCGGGACAAGAUCCUCUCGUAGUGGUGGAGUGUUGUAACGCCCCGGAUACAACUUUCCAUAUUCGUAACUCCAACUCUUGCCUUUUCCGGAGAUGCGAUAUGAUAUUUUCCUUCGUGGUUGGGUUAUUGUCGUUUGUUUUGCAUUUUGUUCAUGCCAUGCAUCUCAUCUCAUAGCAUCAUGCGCAUUGCAUCUGCAUGUUUUCAUAAAACUCGUAGCCGUUCAUAGUUGCCCUUUCUCUCUUUGCCUCCGUUGUUAUUUUGUCAGGUCCUUGUCCUCGUUGACCUCUCUCAGACCCCCUCUUGCGCGCGUCCGAAAACUCCCCCGAAGUCGAACCUGGUUGUCGUGACCGUUGGGUUCGGAUCAUCCCCCAACAUCUAUAAAACAUCUCCGUUUUCUUAUUUGGACCCCCUAGCCUAUUUUUCUCGACCGCCCGAUUUCGCUCGGACGUACCGGGUUAACCCUGCCCUAAUCCUCCUUGCUAUAUAAAUAUGACCCAACCCUAAAUUUGAGGAGAGUUGUCCCAUCGUUCCCUCACCCGCCGCCGCCGCUCUCCCGCAUCCACCUUGGGAUCCCUCCCGAUCCAGUUUCCACCCGAGACCAAUCGCAGCCUCCAUCUUCUCCUCGUUCUCCCCACCAGCCCAACCGGAGCGCUCGAACAAGUGUCCUCCUUCCUCGGGAUCGACCCAGAUCCCACCUGGCCAAAUCCCCUCUCGCUCCCUCGUCCUCGCCCGCGUCCGAGCAAGAGGAGCUCGCUGCUCAAGCUCGAGCACGCACCCAGGACCCAUGGCGCCCCUCCCGUGCGCGCCUCCUCCUCCCGCUGCUCCCUGCGUCCCUUUUCGCGCUGUGCAACGCCCGAGGAGAGCCGAGCUCCUCCCGAUCCAGAGCUCCGCCGUCUUCCUCGCGACCCUCGCCGCCUCGUCUCACCGCCGACGAUCACCAGCACCUCCAGGUCACGCCACCGGGCCUCCCUCGCGCCCUCUCUUCCUUUCCCUCUCCCUGUCUCACCUCUCUCUGUCUCUCUUCGUCAGGGACAGGAACGAGGCAAGCCCGCGCGUCCUCCGCCAUGGAUCCAGGGCCUUGAUUCGUUCCCGGCCUCGCCUCUUCUCGCCGGAGUCCCAACCUCGCCGGAUCCAGCCGUCUCCGUCGUCCGCUAGCCUCCUAUCUGUCUCGAGCGCCAAGUCCCGCUCCCUGCUUACUUUGAAGUCGCUGCACCAAGCCCCGCCUCCUGCAUCCCUGCCUCGAGCACCAGUGCUCCAAGCCCGGCCCUUCUGUAGCUCGCCGGUGAGCACAUCUAGCCACCCGCGCCCGUGGUUCCCUCCUUUUUCUUCCCGUUUCUUAUCCCUGAAUCUCUUCUAUGAAUUCACUCGUCUCUUUGAAUUUCUUCACAGGAGUUGAGCCGCUGUCGUCCUGUUCGACUUCCUCCAUCAGGAACCAUCUCCCCUCGUCAGAUCCGGUGGAUCCUCGCCACCGUCCGCCGCCUGUAGGCCCCAUCUCGCCGCACCUCCCUCCGUUCCUUGAGCCCACGAUGCCGAAGUCCAUCGCGCCCAGCCGCCGGCGCUUGAACCUGCUUCUUCCUCUGUUCUUCAGUAACAAGAGCAGCAGCAGUUCGCUUGUCCCGCGCGUUGACCGCGCCACGCCAGCGCCUGGGCCGCGUCCCGCGAGCCGACCCAGCAGCUGCAUCCUGUCGGCCUGCUGCUACCUCUCCACAGUUCUGGGCUGAGGCCCAUGGUGAGCAGCACCCCCAGCCCCUUCUCUGUGUUCAGCCCAGCAGUGCUCCAGAUUCGGCCCGUGGAUGUUUUUUUCCCGUUCUGCGAUUUAGCGAUUUAUCCAGAGAGUGCAGUUUUACACAUUACCUCUCAUGUUCAUGCAUUUAAUAUCUCACAAACCGUGCAUCGGAUUAAAAUAUUUUAAAUAGGGAAAAUGCUUAGAAUUUCCUCUAGUUUCACAUAAUGCCAUUUUCAUCCAUGUUUAAAAUGUUUAAAAUGCUGUUUGUUUAAAUUUGUUCAAAUGCCAUGUUAAAAUGAUUUAUUUCAUAACUAAUUAACCGUAGCUCCGAAUUUAAUAAACUUUAUAUGUAUUUGGGGUGGAAAAAUGCAUAGAAUAACAUGGUCAACUUUAUUUUCCUGUUUAACAACUUUAAAAUAUGUUUUAGGGCAGAACAGUAGCAAAUUCAUAAAUUGCAUAUGAGGAUUUUCCGGAAAUGUUGUUUGUUGUUUCGGCCUCAUUCAAACUUGCCUAGUUUACUUUUGUUACACCCCUUGCCAUGUUUAACAACAUUUAACAUUGUUGUGUACCUAAACGAGAGCAAACUAAAUAACUCAGAUGUGGUGUUUCGCCAAUAUGCAACUCGUUGCAUAUUGAGCUCCACUUAAUUUGUAGGGUUGUUUGUUGCACUUUGUCAUGCCAUGCCUCAUUAAACCGGACAUGCAUCAUACUUGUUUGUGCAUCAUGCCAUGUUUAUGCUUAUGCAUUUACCAUGUUGUUUGUUUCUUUCCGGUGUUGCUUCUUAGUUCCGGUAAUGUUGUGAUUGUGUGGAUUCGUUCGACUGCUCCCGUUCGUCUUCUUCAUGGACUCGUUCUUCUUCCUAGCGGGAUCUCAGGCAAGAUGACCGCUACCCUGGAUCUCACUACUAUCAUUGCUAUGCUAGUUGCUUCGUUCUAUCGCUAUGCUGCGCCACCUAUCACUUGCUCUUCAAGCCUCCCAAAUUGCCAUGAACCUCUAACCUUUGACACCCUUCCUAGCAAACCGUUGUUUGGCUAUGUUACCGCUUUGCUCAGCCCCUCUUAUAGCAUUGCUAGUUGCAGGUGAAGUUGAAGAUUGCUCCAUGGUGGACAGGGUUAUGUUGGGAUAUCACAAUAUCUCUUAUUUAAUUAAUGCAUCUAUAUAUAUUGGUAAAGGGUGGAAGGCUCGGCCUUAUGCCUGGUGUUUUGUUCCACUCUUGCCGCCCUAGUUUCCGUCAUACCGGUGUUAUGUUCCCGGAUUUUGCGUUCCUUACGCGGUCGGGUGAUUUAUGGGACCCCCUUGACAGUUCGCUUUGAAUAAAACUCCUCCAGCAAGGCCCAACCUUGGUUUUACCAUUUGCCUCACCACCACCUAUACCUUUUCCUUGGGUCGGCCAACCCGAGGGUCAUCUUUAUUUUAGCCCCCCCGGGCCAGUGCUUCUCUAAGUGCUGGUCUGAACCGGGCAGACUGCGGGGCCCCCUCGGGGCAACUCGAGGUCUGGUUUUACUCGUAGGCUGACAUAUCCGGUGUUGCCCUGAGAACGAGAUAUGUGCAGCUCCUAUCGGGAUUGUCGGCGCAUCGGGCGGCUUUGCUGGUCUUGUUUUACCAUUGUCAAAAUGUCUUGUAAACCGGGAUUCCGAGACUGAUCGGGUCUUCCUGGGAGAAGGUAUAUCCUUCGUUGAUCGCGAGAGCUUAUCAUGGGCUAAGUUGGGACACCCCUGUAGGGUAUAAAAUUUCGAGAGCCGUGCCCGCGGUUAUGUGGCAGAUGGGAAUUUGUUAAUGUCCGGUUGUAGAUAACUUGACACCUGAUCCAAAUUAAAAUGCAUCAACCGCGUGUGUAGCCGUGAUGGUCUCUUCUCGGCGGAGUCCGGGAAGUGAACACGGUUUCUGUGUUAUGAUUGACGUAAGUAGGAACUCAGGAUCACCUCUUGAUCAUUACUGAUGUGACGGCGGCCCGAUCUUUCGAUGAGAGAGGGGAUAAAUAUCAAUUUGGUGGAUUUUGACCUUGAUGAUCCGGCUAUACCGUACCCGACGAUACGCCUCGACAAUCGCUAAACCAAUCUCCGAUGGUUAUUGACCUUGCCGUAGGCACGAUCAACCUGAACAACGAGGUUCGAGUUCCUGCAAGCAACCGAAGAACCAGCAAGAACAAAGGUGAAUUGCAACUGAAAUUGCGGAUGAUAAAUUGUGUACACGAACUAGAUGAAAAGUUGGGAUUCCACUGUGGAUCUGACAAGGCGGUAGUCCUACACGUCUCGUAGAUGCGAAUUGUAGCGAAACCUAGACAAUACAAUAAAACCCGAGUCUAAACCCUAAACUAUACUAGCUAUUUAUUAACUACUGCUUCCGGUCGAAGGCGGUAUCUGUUGUCCACAAAUCGGACUGCUCGAGGCCGUACGUGGCUAGUCUUCGUAGACUUUGCGGCAAGCACCUGGCGGCAUGGCCGAAAGCUCUAGGGCCCACCCACGUGGUAAUGUUGGGCCAUUAAUCCAAGUCUCUUGUCCUGGUGCACUUCAUGCAUGCGUACGUGACAUGCUUGGUGGAUAGGACGUGUGACAUGCAUGCAAGAGCGUUGCUCCAUUUGAUCUGAACCUUCUUUAAUCUUUCCUUUAUUCCUAAGUACAAGCAAAUCCAAACAUGAGUGUAAUAUUAUAUUCUCAUUAGUUAAAUCAUAUGCACGAAGAAGCGAUAGUACCUGGUCAUUAAUUUGUCUCGCCCGCGCUCUAGUAAUAGGACCAAGUGGAAUAACUGAUGUAGGAGUUGCGGCGGGUGUAACAAUAGAAGAGAUGUCCUCAUCAUCCCCCCCUUCUUGAAUCGAAGUCGUCCUCGACGGUACCUCGUCGUCAUCACCCAAAUAAGGCUUUAAAUCUGCAACGUUAAAUGUGGGACUAACCCGAAAUUCUGCAGGUAAAUCAAGCUUAUAUGCAUUCUCGUUAAUUUUUUCAAGCACUUUAAAAGGUCCAUCCGCACGAGGCAUUAAUUUUGACUUUUGUAAAUCAGGGAAACGGUCUUUUCACAAAUGCAACCAUACUAAAUCACCUGGUUCAAAAACAACACUUUUCCUUCCCUGACUACCAGCAAGUUUAUAUUUGGCAUUCAUGCGUUCAAUAUUUUUCUUAGUCAUCUCAUGCAUUUUUAAUACUAAUUCAGCACGUUCUUUAGCAUCAAGGUUUACCUUCUCCGAAGAUGGAAUAGGUAAUAAAUCAAUUGGUGCACGAGGUAUAAAUCCAUAAACAAUCUCAAAAGGGCAUAAUUUUGUGGUGGAAUGAACGGAACGAUUAUAAGCAAACUCUACAUGUGGUAGACAUUCUUCCCACAUUUUUAAGUUCUUCUUCAAAACAGCCCUAAGCAUAGUAGACAAUGUACGAUUAACCACUUCAGUUUGACCAUCAGUUUGAGGAUGACAUGUAGUACUAAAUAAAAGCUUACUCCCCAAUUUUGUCGACAACACCCUCCAAAAGUGGCUAAGGAAUUUUGUGUCACGAUCAGAAACAAUUGUAUUUGGCACACCAUGUAAACGAACUACUUCGCGAAAGAACAAAUCAACAAUGUGAGUAGCAUCGUCACUUUUAUGACAAGGUAUAAAAUGUGCCAUCUUAGAGAAUCUAUCGACAACAACAAAUAUACUAUCUCUCCCCCGUCGCGUUCUAGGCAGUCCUAAUACAAAGUCCAUAGAUAUAUCUUCCCAAGGAGUGCUAGGAACAGGAAGAGGCAUAUAUAAACCAUGUGGGUUCAUUCGUGACUUAAGCUUUUUGGCAUGUCGUGCAGCGUGCAACAUAUCUCUCCACAUCCCUUCUCAUUUUUGGCCAGAAGAAAUGACUAGCAAGGAUGUCUUCUGUCUUCUUGACGCCAAAAUGUCCCAUAAGUCCUCCUCCAUGCGCCUCCUGUAACAACAAAAGACAAAUAGAGCUAUCUGGGAUGCAUAGCUUGUUAGCGCGAAAAACAAAUCCGUCAUUAAUGACGAACUUGUUCCAAGUUCUACCCUCUCUGCAAUUGAGCAAUAUAUCUUUAAAGUCAACAUCAUUAGCAUAUUGCUCUUUUAUAGUUUCAAGUCCAAAAAUUUUGAAGUCAAGUUGUGAUAACAUAGUAUAGCGUCUAGACAAGGCAUCGGCAAUAACAUUCUCCUUCCCUUUCUUGUGUUUAAUAACAUAAGGAAAGGAUUCAAUAAAUUCAAACCAUUUUGCAUUUCUACGAUUCAGUUUGCUUUGACUUCUAAUAUGCUUGAGUGAUUCAUGAUCAGAAUGUAUGACAAACUCCUUAGGUCAUAAAUAAUGUUGCCAUGUCUCCAAAGUCCGAACUAGUGCAUAAAGUUCUUUAUCAUACGUUGAAUAAUUCAGACUAGGCCCACUGAGCUUUUCACUAAAGUAUGCUACUGGUUUUCCUUCUUGCAAUAAAACACCACCUAAACCAAUGCCGCUAGCAUCACAUUCUAAUUCAAACAUCUUAUUAAAAUCAGGUAAUUGCAGCAAAGGGGCGUGUGUAAGCUUAUCUUUAAGAAUAGUGAAGGCUUCCUCUUGUGCGUCGCUCCAAACAAAUGGCACAUUUUUCUUUGUGAGCUCGUUGAGCGAUGCUGCGAUGGUACUAAAAUCUUUCACGAACCGCCGGUAGAACCCGGCAAGUCCAAGAAAACUUCGUACCUGUGUGACCGAGUUAGGGGUCGGCCAACUCUGGAUCGCUUCAACCUUGGCUUUAUCAACUUCAAUUCCCUACGCUAUCACAACAUAGCCAAGAAAAGUGACUCGAUCCGUGCAAAAAGUGCACUUCUCGAUAUUACCAAAUAAACGUGCAUCACACAGAGCAGAAAAAACAACACGCAAAUGGUCUAAGUGUUCCUCUAGUGACUUGCUAUAAAUCAAAAUAUCAUCAAAAUAUACUACCACAAAUCGUCCAAUGAAAGCUCACAAAACUUCAUUCAUUAGUCUCAUGAAAGUACUAGGUGCAUUAGUCAAUCCAAAAGGCAUAACUAACCACUCGUAUAAACCAAAUUUAGUUUUGAAAGCAGUUUUCCAUUCAUCACCUAGUUUCAUACGAAUUUGAUGGUAUCCACUACGCAAGUCCACUUUAGAAAACACAACUGAGCCACUGAGUUCAUCAAGCAUGUCAUCUAAUCUGGAAUAGGAUGACGAUAUCAAAUUGUAAUAUUAUUAAUGGCUCUACAAUCAACACACAUACGCGAAGUACCGUCUUUUUUAGGAACUAGUAAAAUUGGUACAGCACAUGGACUAAGGGAUUCGCGAAUGUAACCUUUUUCGAGUAGUUCUUGAACUUGUCGCUGAAUCUCCUUAGUCUCCUCGGGAUUAGUCCGGUACGGUGCACGGUUGGGUAGUGAGGCGCCGGGUAUCAAGUCAAUUUGGUGUUCAAUUCCUCUCAUAGGUGGCAGCCCCGGUGGUACUUCCUUUGGAAAAACAUCAUGAUACUCCUGCAAAAGGUUAGCGAUAACAGGAGGCAAAGAAGAAGGCAUAUCCUCAAAUGAAAACAAAACUUCUUUGCAGAUAAGAGCAUAACAUUCAUCAAUUUGAGCAUCUAACUCAAAAAUUUCAGCACGUGUAGCUAAGAAAGAAGCACCUUUCAAUUUAAUUUCUUUAGAUGUGCUAGGAUCAGAUUUGUGCAUCUUAUUAAAUUGUUCUAACUCAUCAACAACUUUCUGAUUUUCAGAUUUAGUACACUGAAUAUUUGUGUUUCUACUAGCCCUAGCAAGAUCAUCUUUUAAAAUUUGCUCAGGAGACAUAGGGUGUAGAAUGAUUUUCUUUCCUUUAUGUGUGAGGGUGUACUGAUUAGUUCUACCAUCAUGUAAACAUUGUUUAUCAUAUUGCCAUGGCCUUCCUAGUAACAUAGAACAAGCUUGCAUAGGCACAAUAUCGCAAUCAAUAGUGUCAUGGUAUGAACCUAAAGAAAAAGGAACUCUCACCAUGCGUGUCACCUUUACCUUUCCACCAUCAUUAAACCAUUGAAUGUCGUACGGUUGCGGAUGUUGUCGCGAAGGUAGGGAGAGCUUCUCCACCAUGUUAAUGCUUGCUAAAUUGUUACAACUCCCUCCAUCAAUGAUUAUGCGAACGGAACGCUCCUUGACGACUCCUUUGAUGUGGAAGAGGUUGUGACGUUGAUCCUUCUUUGCUUUGACAAUCUGAGCACUAAGUACACGAUGUGAUAUAAGACUCAUGUACUUAUCGGCGUCGUCGGCGGUCACAUGUUCUUCCUCUUGCUCCGGUCUUGUGACAUCGUCUUCAUGUGCAGCAAGCAAGGCAUAUGUGUCUUCAUCAAAAUCACUAGCGGAGUCGUACUCGCCGUCUUCACGAAUGAUCAACACACGCUUAUUAGGACACUCCUUCAUGACAUGGCCAAAUCCCUUGCAAGUGUGGCAUUGGAUAUCCUUUGUUCUUUUGGAGGAAGCGGACGAUGAUGACGAACUUUUUGUUGGAAUUGGUGUAGUACUUUUUAGUGGUGCCGAAGUGUGUGAUGCUGAAGUUGAGGAAGAAGGCCCCAGUCGAGAGGUUGCAGGUGCUGUUGUAGAGGUGCGAGUGGACGUGGCAGCAGGGGUGCGUGACGCCCAUGUGGAAGUACGACCUGCAGAAAAAUUAGGACGCAUUCUCGAACGACCCUGCACUUCAUGUUCAGCAUGUAUAGCAAGAUGGAAUAAACGGGUCAUUGAAUGAUAAUCCUUAUAAGCAAGUAUGUCAUAAAUUUCUCUAUUCAAUCCACCCAAGAACCUAGCCAUAGAGGCUUCCUCAGUCUCAACUAAACCACAACGUAACAUGCCCAUUUGCAAUUCUUGAUAAUAGUCUUCAACGGAUUUAGAUCCUUGGUUCAAGCAUUGUAGUUUAUUUAGCAAGUCACGUUCAUAAUAUCCAGGAACAAAACGGUGACGCAUUACUAAUUUCAAAGCUUCCCAAGUGGCAGGAAUAUUAUUAGGAUGUUUACGACAAUGUUCUCUCCACCAAAUAGAAGCAAAAUCACUAAACUCACUAGUUGCAGCCCUAACUCUUUUAUCACCAGGAAAAUCAUCGCAAGUAAAUUUUUGAUCAACUAGUAAUUCCUAGUCAAGAUAAACAUCUGGAUCAUAUUUCCCAUCAAAAGGAGGCAUGACAAAUUUAAUUCUACCCAAAGAGUCGUCAUGGCCACGUACCUGAGGACGCUGGGGUCGUCCCAUACCUUGUUGAUUAUUGCGUAGUCGACGAUGAUCACGAUCAUUGUUAUCAUUAACUGCAUCAGGAUCCUCGGAAUCACCAUCAUAGUUGUCAUCUUGGAUGUCGCCGGCUAUCGAGGUGGCGUUGCGAGGACGGGGCUGCUCGACGGCAUCGGUGUAUGAAAGAGGGUGCCUCAGGUCUCCUGGGGGUACCCGACGAGCUCGUUGUAGACCUGUGUUGGUGGCUGGAAGAUGCGGAGCGGAAGUGGAGGCGGCACCUAGACGGGCAUCCUGGGCAUCAAGACGUUUCAUAAUAGAUGCAAGUGUUUGGGUGAACGUCUCAUUGCUAUCCUCGAUCGACUUGAGACGCUUAUCAAGUGCGCCCUCGAACGAUGUGAACCGCUCGGUGUAUGCAUGCACAUCCUCCUCAAGGCGUGCCACCGGGGCUUUCAUGUUGUCUUCGUCACCUGCCAUGGUUAGGACGGAACAAGAACAAAAUCACAAGUAUAUGGCUCCUACAGUAACUACAGUGAGGCGGUGGAAAAUGUCUCUCAACUCUCAAGCAAUUACCAAACUCUUACCAGUUCUUACCGUGCUGCAGUGGUUGUCGGCCGUUGGCGAUGUCAAAAGUGAUCAAAAGAUUGAUACAACGAUUACCAAGUGACCGAACAAGAUACAAUAUAGGAAGUGGAGCUCGGUGAUGGUUCCCUCAACUCACAAUAUGUGGCACAAUUAAGCAAAAAGUAAUGCAAGCUGAAUAAUUGCUCAAACUCCUAACUAGUGCUGGUAGUCGACUAGUAAGAGAUAAAACAAUCUAAGCCUAGAUACUGAAUCAAGGGAGUGGAAACCGAUAAAAAUAUAAUAGCUCUAAAUAGCUAAAUAUAAGUGAGGUGUGAACGUAGCGUAUGGCGACCAAGAGCAACAAAAGAAAAUGUCCAGCAAAUAUCACGUGUAUAGCAGAGGAACAAUUCUGAACGUCAAAAGAGAUUGCACCAAGAGUGCUAGCCGGCCUGAAUGUUGCAACCCUUUUUUUUUCUAUUUUUUUGUCUUUUUUUCCUUUUUUUCUUUUGCUUCACUUUUUUUUUUCUUUUUUUAACAGGCCAGUCGCUAGCAGAAAUCACAGACACAAUUUAAGUCACAAGAGAUAAGAUGCAAGGCUACUGGACAAGGUGCAACGAUAGCUAGCUACAAGCACUUGAUUGUGGAGAUUAGCGUGGACUAGUACUAAUACACAGGCACAGCCUGAUGGAAAUCGGUGGGCGUGUCGCGCGUGGAGACAGACUGACACGGCUGGAUGUCUGAUGGUUUGCGUCUUGCUUGGUGUGAAGCCACGCUAAGGACCAGACUGCGUGUGCUGGGAUGUCUGGCAGCUCGCGAAACGCGAUGUGUGUAUGGAUGCACGUACGCAGGCUCAAGUUGACCUGGUCCGAAGUACUGUUGUGGAGCAGCGCCUGUACGCGUGCAAAACGAUGCAAACUUGUUUUUUUUCCUCUAGAUUACCGAGGAAUUUGCGGCAGAAGAUAUGGUGGACAAAAACAAGUGCGAUCUAGUAGACAAUUUUCUUCCCAAACGAAUCUAAACCAGCACUAAUACUAGGAUGAAUGCAACCAAAAAUUCAGCUACGCAAAUACUAGAUGCUAAAAUUGCUAAAGGCUAAAAAGGUAGGUGUAAUGGAUGAACUAAUCUAUUUCUUUUUGGCUUUUUCGUGGGUUUAUGGGACAGAAAAUAACUAAUCUAACAAAACUGUAAAUCUCUCACCGAUGAACCUGAAAACUGAUACCACUUGAUGUGACAGCGGCCCGAUCUUUCGAUGAGAGAGGGGAUACAUAUCGAUUUGGUGGAUUUUGACCUUGACGAUCCGGCUAUACCGUACCCGACGAUACGCCUCGACAAUCGCUAAACCAAUCUCCGAUGGUUAUUGACCUUGCCGUAGGCACACUCAACCUGAACAACGAGGUUCGAGUUCCUGCAAGCAACCGAAGAACCAGCAAGAACAAAGGUGAAUUGCAACUGAAAUUGCGGAUGAUAAAUUGUGUACACGAACUAGAUGAAAAGUUGGGGUUCCACUGUGGAUCUGACAAGGCGGUAGUCCUACACGUCUCGUAGAUGCGAAUUGUAGCGAAAGCUAGACAAUACAAUAAAACCCGAGUCUAAACCCUAAACUAUACUAGCUAUUUAUUAACUACUGCUUCCGGUCGAAGGCGGUAUCUGUUGUCCACAAAUCGGACUGCUCAAGGCCGUACGUGGCUAGUUUCGUAGACUUUGCGGCAAGCACCUGGCGGCGUGGCCGAAAGCUCUAGGGCCCACCCACGUGGUAAUGUUGGGCCAUUAAUCCAAGUCUCUUGUCCUGGUGCACUUCAUGCAUGCGUACGUGACAUGCUUGGUGGAUAGGAUCGUGUGACAUGCAUGCAAGAGCGUUGCUCCAUUUGAUCUGAACCUUCUUUAAUCUUUCCUUUAUUCCUAAGUACAAGCAAAUCCAAACAUGAGUGCAAUAUUAUAUUCUCAUUAGUUAAAUCAUAUGUACGAAGAAGCGAUAGUACCUGGUCAUUAAUUUGUCUCGCCCGCGCUCUAGUAAUAGGACCAAGUGGAAUAACUAAUGUAGGAGUUGCGGCGGGUGUAACAAUAGAAGAGAUGUCCUCAUCAAUUACUAGUUGACGACCGUUCCUUUGUUUCUCUUCUCGGUCUCAUUUGCGUAUGUUAGCCACCAUAUAUGGUUAGUCGCUGCUGCAACCUCACCACUUUACCCCUUCCUUUCCCUUUAAGCUUUGCUAGUCUUGAUACCCAUGGUAAUGGGAUUGCUGAGUCCUCGUGGCUCACAGAUUACUACAACAACAGUUGCAGGUACAGGAUUAUGCGUUGAUCUUGACGCGAGAGCGAUGUUGCUUGUUUUGGAGUUCUUCUUCUGCUUCUUCUUCGAUCAGGGGAUAGGUUCCAGGUCGGCAGCCUGGGCUAGCAGGGUGGAUGUCGUUUGAGUUUCUGUUUAUGUUUCAUCCGUAGUCGGAUGGUUGCUCUUAUGUAUGAUGUAUUGAUGCAUUCUUGUGGCAUUGUAUGCCUUAUGUAUGUAUCCCCAUCUAUUAUGUAAUGUUGAUGUAAUGAUAUCCACCUUGCAAAAGGGUCUUCAAAAUGCGCUUCUAUCCUUGGUGGGACCUUCGAGUUCUUUAGGAUAGGGUCGCAUCUUGGGCGUGACAGACACGGUGUUGAGAUCCACCUUCAUGAUCUCCACCCCGGUCAUCAUGCUCGCGAGAGCCUCUUCUUUCGCCUUGGUCUUGGCGUUGGCGGCCUCAAUCUCAAGCAUCUUGGUUUGCUUCUCUGCCUCUAGCUCAAACAUCUUGGCUUGCUUCUCGGCGUCCAGGUCAAGCCUCCUCCUUUGGAUCUCCAUGAAAGCGUCCAUUUGCUCCGCCUUGAAACGCCGGCGCUUCUCCUCCCUUGAGUCCUUCUUGUCCAUCAUGCCGUCCACGCUUGCGAUCAAAGCGUUGGUGGCUGCAUCUCGCUUGUCCUCUUUCUUGGAGUUGGUCUUCCCCCGCGGCCGUGCCGGCUCGCCCUCCCCAACAUCCUCCACGGCUUUCUUCCCCCCACGCGACUUGAGUGCGGCAUAUUGCGCCUUGAACUUCUCCUCGUCCUUGAUGACCCGAUAGCAAUGGGAGAGGUUGAAGAACUUGCCAUUGUGUUGCACCUUGAAUGCCUCCAAAGCUUGAAAUGCCUACAAAAUGUUUCCAUGCAAGCAUAUGGCCAAGUGAUAUGCAAAUGGACACGCAAAGGAUGAACUUGAUGACACAAAAGAGGGCGGCUUGCUAGCAUACCAUGUCUUGCAUGCCGAUGCCGCUCACGGGGCGGGCUUUGACACUCCUAAGAGUGGCGCAAAACUUGUUGCACUCUUGUUGGAUCAUCCUCCACCGCUUGGAAAUGGAGACCCACCCGCGUGUGCUCACAAAUUGGUACGGCGGAAACUUCUUGCGCCCAUGAAACUCUCGGUGGACACGAAUCCAAAAGGUUGAAUGCUUUUGCUCGGCGCCCGUCUUGGGGUCUUGUCCAAUGUCUCGCCAACACUCGCAAAGAAGCUUGUCCUCGGCCGCCGUGUACGCCUUCGUACACUUGCUCUUGCGCUUCGGCUUAGGAUCGGCGGCUUGGUUGGCGAGCUCGUCCUUGAACAAAGGCUCCACGUCGAUGUCGCACUCGUCCUCUUCCUCUAGCCCGUAGUCGUCCGGAAACUCGUGGUCAAGGGGGAAGCCAUCCAGGUCGAUGCCGGCCUGAUCACGCAUGAAGGCCGCCUGGUCGGGAUCAUAGCCAGCGGCCGGCGUGAACGCCCCGCGGCCGUCCUGGCUUUGUGUCUCGUCGGCAUCGUAGCCAGUGGCCGGCACACUGCCCUCGAAGAUGAGGUUCUGCAUGUAGUCCUCGUCGGCGGCUUGCGGUAUUUCCUCGAACAAGUUGCGGGCGUCCGGGAGCACGCCGGCCGGCGUCUGCCGCACGCGUUUCCUCACGCCGCUGGAUGACGAGCCACCGGCCACCGGGGUGGAGUUGAGGUCGAUGGGCGCGGGCGUGGAAGGCGCGAUCAUGCUCACUUCGGGUGAGCACUCCCCGAAGAGGCGGGAGGCCUGCGGGUAGACGUGGAAGCCGGGGAUCGGGUUGCAAGCUGACCCGCGGGGCGAGUCGGGUAACACCAUUCAAGGAAACGCCGACAGCCGGUGUUGGACGCGGCGACGGCGGCUUGGAGGAGGCCGUGCUAGCUAGGGUUUAAACCUAGCAUGUAGAGCGCCUCCCUCGUUGCCGCCACGACGUGGGCGUUGAUGACCUCCUGCUGCGUGGCGGCAACGACGACGGCCUGAGCGACGACCUCAUCCCUCGCGUCCGCGGCGUGCCUCCGACCCUUCCUCUUGGCCGACUCGCAUGCCCGCUGUUCGGGCGCAGCGCCUUCUUUGGCUUGGUCGUGGCGACCAUCUUGCGCGGGCACGAGGCUUGCCCUUCCCGGCGCGGGCGGCGGCGCCGGACGAGGCGAGGGAGGCGAGGUCGGCGGCGGCGUCGAGGUCGAUGUCGUCGUCUAUGGCUGGUUGGGGCGGGAGCGAGCGCGCGGGGGCGGGGUGUUUUUCGAGAAAAUGAGGGGAAAUUGUGGUGGCUGCCACCGACCGGCGGGCCCGGGGAGAGGAGUAGGCGCGCGCGCAUCCGUCUUGUGUCCGUGCGGACGUAAAUCCGGCUAAAAAAUGGGUCGGGAAUGGAUCGCCAUGCGGACGUUAAGCGGACACGCGUCCGUUUGGGUCGGCGCGUUGGGCCGCCUUUUGUGUCCGCGCUGACCCAAACGAACGGCGGCGGAUGAAAUGGGUCGCCCCGUUGGAGUUGCUUUUAUAGGAUGUAUAUACGAGGGACGCGCGAUGUAAGGAUAUAUGUACUGUAGGACGCAAGCUGCUUACCGGUCCGACUUCCUCGCGGCGUCGUUGAGGAGCUCUAGUUAUGAAUUCCAGACGAACACGGACAGGGAGAACACGACGCCCAUGUCUCAUCACGUAAGCUGACACGCGGCAGCCGAACUGAGCAGGUUAUAUUGCUGUAGCCGCGGUUGCCAAAUCCGGCAGUCUGUACAGUGAUCAGGCAAUCCUCAAAGGCGACGGCUAGGAAUUAAUUGGAUGAUUUCUCAUCCUUCUAGCUAGCCGUCCGAUCCCAAACUCGUAACCGUGCGAUCUUUUGUUCAUAUGGUCCUUUCUCACGCCCCGUGCACGUUAGCAUCAGCAGCGGCCUGGCCCCUCCAUUGCAGCCACAACUACAGCGGCUUCCUUGCAGCAUCAUUUAGGAGCUCCAGUUACGAAUUCCAGACGGCUCGGACAGGGAGAACCACAACGCCCACAUCUUUUCUUCACCUAAGACCUAAGAGCAUCUAAAGCCAGACUUUACAAAUCCGGCCCCUCAAACACCCGCAAACGCGCCGGCGGACACUAACCGGUCAAGCUUCAAAUUUGCACUCUCACAAUCGGACACAUCAAUUAUCAUAUCUUAAAUCCAUACAAACUCACGCAAGUACGUAGAUGUAUUACACACAUUUUCCGACUACUCAUCACUACUAACAUGCCAUCGGACAACCAAAAUUUAGCAUGUUUGGCUAUGGUGGAGAUAAUCCACGGCUGCCCUUGCCCGACGCCCUUGUCGUCCUUCUCGCGGAAUUACCGGUCGAAGACGCGGUAGGGACCAAGCCGGAUCUGGUCGUUGUCGGAGCUGUCCUUACCGUCGUUGUCCUCCUUUUCCUCCUUUGGUGGCAAUUCGGCCAUGGCACGGACCGCCCGAUUCUGCUCACGGGCGUGUGUUCCUCUGUUGUUGUUUUUUCACAAUGCAUAUGCGGAUGGCUUCCUCGUCUGCGCCCACCCGCGCCGCCGCCUCCGUCUCCUCCAUUUCCGCCGUGAUACGGGCCUCAACGCUCCUUACUCUCUCCUUCCCACGGAGGGCACACCGGUUCUGGUGGGACUCAUAGUCCGCCCGACCGGUGAUGGGGAAGGAGAGAUUUUUUGUCUGUCGGGACCGCGAUGAUCCAGCCCUAGAGGACCCGGAGCGCCCGUUGAGCCGACCCUAUGGAGUAGCGCGGGACAGAUCCCACCGUCGGCCAGGUGCUGGCAUCCCGGGAGCGGCGGAGUGCAAUGCAGACCGCCAUUGCCUCCUCCAACCCGCAUGGGAUGACACCCCAGUCGACGGAUCCGGGCUGGUCGGAGUCAGAUCCGUUGCCCGCCAUGCCGGAGACGACCAGAAAUCGCCAGAGGCGAUCUUGGGUGGCGGGUGGAGUGGAGUGUGAAGUGGCUAGGGUUUGGUCCGGCGAGCGAAUUGGGAGAAAUAUGGGUCGGGUGGGCCAGCAUAGUCUGGGUCUAACGUGGCGGACGCGCUUGGGCACCCUGAUACGUCUCCAACGUAUCUAUAAUUUUUGAUUGUUUCAUGCUAUUAUAUUAUGUGUUUUGGAUGUUUAAUGGGCUUUAUUAUACACUUUUAUACUAUUUUUAGGACUAACCUAUUAACCGGAGGCCCAGUCCAAAUUGCUGUUUUUUUGCCUAUUUCAGUGUUUCGCAGAAAAGGAAUAUGAAAUGGAGUCCAAACGAAAUGAAACCUUCGGGAGAGUCGUUUUUGGAACAAACGCAAUCCAGGAGACUUAGAGUGGACAUCAAGGAAGCAACGAGGCGGCCACGAGGCAUGGAUGGGCGCCCAGGGGGUUGUUGGAAAUAUGCCCUACAGGCAAUAAUAAAAGUAUUAUUAUUAUAUUUCCUUGUUCAUGAUAAUUGUCUUUUAUUCAUGCUAUAACUGUAUUAUCCGGAAAUCGUAAUACACGUGUGAAUACAUAGACCACAAUAUGUCCCUAGUGAGCCUCUAGUUGACUAGCUCGUUGUGAUCAACAGAUAGUCAUGGUUUCCUGGCUAUGGACAUUGGAUGUCGUUGAUAACGGGAUCACAUCAUUAGGAGAAUGAUGUGAUGGACAAGACCCAAUCCUAAGACUAGCACAAAAGAUCGUGUAGUUCAUUUGCUAGAGCUUUGCCAAUGUCAAGUAUCUCUUCCUUUGACCAUGAGAUCGUGUAACUCCUGGAUACCGUAGGAGUGCUUUGGGUGUAUCAAACGUCACAACGUAACUGGGUGACUAUAAAGGUGCACUACAGGUAUCUCCGAAAGUAUCUAUUGUUUUAUGCGGAUCGAGACUGGGAUUUGUCACUCCGUGUAAACGGAGAGGUAUCUCUAGGCCCACUCGGUAGGACAUCAUCAUAUGCGCAAUGUGACCAAGGAGUUGAUCACGGGAUGAUGUGUUACGGAACGAGUAAAGUGACUUGCCGGUAACGAGAUUGAACAAGGUAUUGGUAUACUGACGAUCGAAUCUCGGGCAAGUAAAAUACCGCUAGACAAAGGGAAUUGUAUACGGGAUCGAUUGAGUCCUUGACAUCGUGGUUCAUCCGAUGAGAUCAUCGUGGAACAUGUGGGAGCCAACAUGGGUAUCCAGAUCCCGCUGUUGGUUAUUGACCGGAGAAUGUCUCGGUCAUGUCCGCAUGUCUCCCGAACCCGUAGGGUCUACACACUUAAGGUUCGAUGACGCUAGGGUUAUAAAGGAAGCUUGUAUGUGGUUACCGAAUGUUGUUCGGAGUCCCGGAUGAGAUCCCGGACGUCACGAGGAGUUCCGAAAUGGUCCGGAGGUAAAGAUUUAUAUAUAGGAAGUCCUGUUUCGGCCAUCGGGACAAGUUUCGGGGUCAUCGGUAUUGUACCGGGACCACCGGAAGGGUCCCGGGGGCCCGCCGGGUGGGGCCACCUGCCCCGGGGGGCCACAUGGGCUGUAGGGGGUGCGCCUUGGCCUACAUGGGCCAAGGGCACCAGCCCCUAGAGGCCCAUGCGCCAAGAUAUAGGAAAAAGGGGAGAGUCCUAAAGGGGGAAGGCACCUCCGAGGUGCCUUGGGGAGGAUGGACUCCUCCCCCCCUCUUAGCCGCACCCCUUUCUUGGAGGAAGGGGCAAGGCUGCGCCUCCCCCCUCUCCCCUGCCCCUAUAUAUAGUGGAGGGGAGGGAGGGCAUCCACACCUGAGCCCUUGGCACCUCCCUCCCUCCCGUGACACCUCCUCCUCUCCCGUAGGUGCUUGGCGAAGUCCUGCAGGAUUGCCACGCUCCUCCAUCACCACCACGCCGUCGUGCUGCUGCUGGAUGGAGUCUUCCUCAACCUCUCCCUCUCUCCUUGCUGGAUCAAGGCGUGGGAGACAUCGUCGAGCUGUACGUGUGUUGAACGCGGAGGUGCCGUCCGUUCGGCACUAGGAUCAUCGGUGAUCUGAAUCACGGCGAGUACGACUCCAUCAACCCCGUUCACUUGAACGCUUCCGCUUAGCGAUCUACAAGGGUAUGUAGAUGCAAACUCUCUCCCUUGACUCGUUGCUUAGAUGAACUCAUAGAUGGAUCUUGGUGAAACCGUAGGAAAUUUUUUAAUUUUCUGCUACGUUCCCCAACAGGGGUAGGCGCACUCCCCACCCUCGUGGGCCCCUUGUGGCUCCCCUGACCGACUUCUUUCACCUAUGUAUACUCAUAUACCCUGAAAACAUCUGAGAGCACCACGAAACCCUAUUUCCACCACCGCAACCUUCUGUACCCGUGAGAUCUCAUCUUGGGGCCUUUUCCGGCGCUCCGCCGGAGGGGGAAUCGAUCACAGAGGGCUUCUACAUCAGCACCAUAGCCUCUCUGAUGAAGUGUGAGUAGUUUAUCUCAGACCUUCGGGUCCAUAGUUAUUAGCUAGAUGGCUUCUUCUCUCUCUUUGGAUCUCAAUACAAAGUUCUCCUCGAUCUUCUUGGAGAUCUAUUUGAUGUAAUACUUUUUGCUGUGUGUUUGUCGAGAUCCGAUGAAUUGUGGGUUUAUGACCAAGAUUAUCUAUGAACAAUAUUUGAAUCUCCUCUGAAUUCUUUUAUGUAUGAUUUGUUAUCUUUGCAAGUCUCUUCGAAUUAUCAGUUUGGUUUGGCCUACUAGAUUGAUCUUUCUUGCAAUGGGAGAAGUGCUUAGCUUUGGGUUCAAUCUUGCGGUGUCCUUUCCCAAUGAUAGCAGGGGCAGCAAGGCACAUAUUGUAUUGUUGCCAUCGAGGAUAAAAAGAUGGGGUUUAUAUCAUAUUGCUUGACUUUAUCCCUCUACAUCAUGUCAUCUUGCCUAAUGCGUUACUCUGUUGUUAUGAACUUAAUACUCUAGAUGCAUGUUGGAUAGCGGUCGAUGUGUGGAGUAAUAGUUGUAGAUGCAGAAUUGUUUCGAUCUACUUGUCGCAGACGUGAUGCGUAUAUAUAUAUGAUCAUGACUAGAUAUUCUCAUAACUAUGCACUUUUCUAUCAAUUGCUCGAUAGUAAUUUGUUCACCCACCGUAAUACUUAUGCUAUCUUGAGAGAAGCCACUAGUGAAACCCAUGGCCCCCGGGUCUAUUUUCCAUCAUAUAAGUUUCCGAUUUGUUUUAUUUUGCAAUCUUUACUUUCCAAUCUAUAUCAUAAAAAUACCAAAAAUAUUUAUCUUAUUAUCUCUAUCAGAUCUUACUUUUGCAAGUGGCCGUGAAGGGAUUGACAACCCCUUUAUCGCGUUGGUUGCAAGGUUCUUAUUUGUUUGUGUAGGUACGAGGGAUUUGAGUGUAGCCUCCUACUGGAUUGAUACCUUGGUUCUCAAAAACUGAGGGAAAUACUUACGCUACUUUGCUGCAUCACCCUUUCUUCUUCAAGGGAAAACCAACGCAUGCUCAAUAGGUAGCAAGAAGGAUUUCUGGCGCCGUUGCCGGGGAGUCUACGCACAAUUCAAGACAUACCAAGUACCCAUCACAAACUUUUAUCCCUCGCAUUACAUUAUUUGCCAUUUGCCUCUCGUUUUCCUCUCCCCCACUAAACCCUUGCCGUUUUAUUCGCCCUCUCUUUUCCGUUUCGCUUGCUUCUUGUGUCGUCGUUCGUCGUCAUGGCUAGUCCUUCUAUCAUUGUUAGUACUCCCGAUCAUGAAGUUCUUAAUUUUAAACAAAGGGAGGGAGAAAACCUAAAAGAUGCUUGGCAUAGAAUUUGCAAUGCUCAGAAUAGAUCUACUAGGAAGCAAUCUACUUCCGUUCUUCUUCACAAUUUUUAUGUAGGCAUUACUCCUUGAAAUAGAUAUAUUCUUGAUACCAUUACCGGAGGGAAUUUCUUGGGUAGCCAUACUUUUGAUUCUUAUAAUGCUAUGAUAGAUUUAUUUGGUCCACCACCUCUUUUGGUUAAUGGAACUGUUUUAACUUUGGAACAUGUGAUGCAAAGGCUUGAAAUUAUUGAAAAUAAAGUUUCCACUGUAGAGUUAAUUGAAAAUUUGGAUAAAAAGAUCCACAACCAAAUUACCCAAUAUGGAGCUAAGGUUGGAGUUACUCUGAAAAAUCUUAAAGAAAAGGAACCUAUAGUUAACAAAAAAAUAGAUCAAGAUUCCACAAGAAUCGGUAAACUUGAGGAUAUUAUUACCAACUUAGGGUCUGCCUUUUCUUCCAUGAAAAAUAUUCCAAAUCCUCCUACUACCAAAAUUGCCAAAUUAAUGUAUGUUCCUAGAAAUAAGGGUGAAUCUUCUAGUAAGGAAAAUGCGGAUCUCAAAUCAAUAAGUGUUCACCCUAGUUUUUUCGCUAUCAAUAAGGAACCUUUUGCUACAAAUGAAUUUCUUGAUUUCUUGCCUAGGAGUUUAAUAAUUACUAAAAAGAGGGAAACUUCUAAGGGUUAUAAGUGUUCUAUUGAAGAAUUGAAUAUCAAAGAUGGCAAUACUUAGAUCUAUUCUCGCUUUUAUGCCUAACUUCGGGCGUUAAACGAUAGCGCUUGUUGGGAGGCAACCCAAUUUUAUUUUUGUUGUUUGCUUUUUGUCCCUAUUUAGUAAUAAAUAAUUCAUAUAGCCUCUGGUUAGAUGUGGUUUUAUGUUUUAAUUAGUGUUUGUGCCAAGUAAAACCUUUAGGAUAACCUACGGUGAUAGUCAAUUUGAUCUUGCUGAAAAACAGAAACUUUUGCAUGCACGAGAAUAAUUUUCAUAAAUCACAGAGACGUGAUUUUCCGUUGAUUCUUUUUGAAUAAGAUUAAUAAAAAAUUAUAUAGGACUUACUAUUUUUGUAGAAUUGUUGGGGUUCCAGAAGUAUUCUAAACGUACAGAUUGCUACAGACUAUUCUGUUUUUGACAGAUUCUGUUUUUCGUGUGUUGUUUGCUUAUUUUGAUGAAUCUAUGGCUAGUAUCGGGGGGUAUGAACCAUAGAGAAGUUGGAAUACAGUAGGUUUAAUACCAAUAUGAAUAAAGAAUGAGUUCAUUACAGUAACUUAAAGUCGUGGUUUGUUUUCUUUUGCUAACGGAGCUCAUGAGAUUUUCUGUUGAGUUUUGUGUUGUGAAGUUUUCAAGUUUUUGGGUAAAGAUUUGAUGGAUUAUGGAAUAAGGAGUGGAAAGAGCCUAAUCUUGCGGAUGCCCAAGGCACCCCAAGGUAAAAUUCAAGGACAACCAAAAGCCUAAGCUUGGGGAUGCCCCAGAAGGCAUCCCCUCUUUCGUCUUCGUCCAUCGGUAACUUUACUUGAUGCUAUAUUUUUAUUCACCACAUGAUAUGUGUUUUGCUUGGAGCGUCUUGUAUGAUUUGAGUCUUUACUUUUUAGUUUACCACAAUCAUCCUUGCUAUACACACCUUUUGGGAGAGACACACAUGAAUCGGAAUUUAUUAGAAUACUCUAUGUGCUUCACUUAUAUCUUUUGAGCUAGAUAAUUUUGCUCUAGUACUUCACUUAUAUCUUUUUAGAGCACGACGGUGGUUUUAUUUUAUAGGAAUUAUUGAUCUCUCAUGCUUCACUUAUAUUAUUUUGAGAGUCCUUUAGAAUAGCAUGGUAAUUGCUUUGGUUAAAAUUUUAGUCCUAAUAUGAUGAGCAUCCAAGAUAGGUAUAAUAAAAACUAUCAUGUAAAGUGCAUUGAAUACUAUGAGAAGUUUGAUACUUGAUGAUUGUUUUGAGAUAUGAGGAUGGUAAUAUUAGGGUCAUGCUAGUUGAUUAGUUGUGAAUUUGAGGAAUACUUGUGUUAAAAGUUUGUGAUUCCCGUAGCAUGCACGUAUGGUGAACCGUCAUGUGAUGAAGUUGGAGCAUGAUUUAUUUAUUGAUUGUCUUCCUUAUGUGUGGAGGUCAGGAUCGCGCGAUGGUUAACUCCUACCAACCCUUCCCCUACGAGCAUGCGCGCAGUACUUUGUUUUGAUAACUUGUAUAUUUUUGCAAUAAGUAUGUGAGUUCGUCAUGACUAAUGUUGAGUCCAUGGAUUAUACGCACUCUCACCCUUCCACCAUUGCUAGCCUCUCUUGUGCUGCGCAACUUUCGCCGGUAUCAUACACCCACCUUAUACCUUCCUCAAAACAGCCACCAUACCUACCUAUUAUGGCAUUUCCAUAGCCAUUCUGAGAUAUAUUGCUCCACCAUUGUCACGCUCCACCAUUACAUUUAUUAUGACACGCUCCACCAUUGUCAUAUUGCUUUGCAUGAUCAUGUAGUUGACAUCGUAUUUUUGGCAAAGCCACCGUCCAUAAUUCUUUCAUACAUGUCACUCUUGAUUCAUUAUCCUGGUACACCACCGGAGGCAUCCACAUAGAGUCAUAUUUUGUUCUAAGAUUCUUGAGAUGUAAGUAGAUAAAUGUGUGAUGAUCUUCAUUAUUAGAGCAUUGUCCUAUGUGAGGAAAGGAUGAUGGAAGCAAUGUUUCCCUCACAAGUUGGGAUGAGUCUCCGGACUUCAUGAAAAAUGAAAGAGGCCAAAGAAGCCCAAAUAAAAAAAGAGGCCAAAGAAUCCCACCAAAAAAAUGAGAGAAAAAGAGAGAAGGGACAAUGUUACUACCCUUUUACCACACUUGUACUUCGAAGUAGCACCAUGAUUUCAUGAUAGAGAGUCUCCUAUGUUGUCACCUUCAUAUGCUAGUGGGAAUUUUUCACUAUAGAACUUGGCUUGUAUAUUCCAAUGAUGGGCUUCCUCAAAUUUCCCUAGGUCUUCGUGAGCAAGCAAGUUGGAUGCACACCCACUUAGUUUCUUUUGAUGAGCUUUCAUAUACUUAUAGCUCUAGUACAUCCGUUGCAUGGCAAUCCCUACUCACUCACAUUGAUAUCUAUUAAUGGGUAUCUCCAUAGCCCGUUGAUACGCCUAGUUGAUGUGAGGCUAUCUUCUCCUUUUUUGUCUUAUCCACAACCACUAUCCUAUUCCACCUAUAGUGCUAUGUCCAUGGCUCAUGCUCAUGUAUUGCGUGCAGAUUGAAAAAGUUUGAGAAUACUAAAGUAUGAAACAAUUGCUUGGUUAAAACCGGGGUUGUGCAUGAUUUAAAUAUUUUGUGUGAUGAAGAUAGAGCAUAGCCAGACUAUAUGAUAUUUGUAGGGAUAACUUUCUUUGGCCAUGUUAUUUUGAGAAGACAUGAUUACUUUGUUAGUAUGCUUGAAGUAUUAUUACUCUUAUGUCAAUAUUAAACUUUUGUAUUGAAUCUUUCGGAUCUGAACAUUCAUGCCACAAUAAAGAAAAUUACAUUGAGAAUUAUGCUAGGUAGCAUUCCACAUAAAAAAAA
rnacentral:lncRNA from 1 species